rnacentral:lncRNA from 1 species
UUUUUUUUUUUUUUUUUUGUCGACACAGGGGUGUCCGGGUCAAUCCUUACGGGGCCCGACUAAUCCCCUGCGGCCCGGGCCCGGCGCCCCAACCCAACUCUAGCACGAUAAGUGCGCGGAGGAAUCCAGCAGAGCAGAGACUCGAACUCGGUUUAAUGAUUAGAUCGAGACGAACUCUUUUGUGCAAAACAUUUGCCCCAGGCAUCGUUACUACAGAGUAUGUGAUCCAAUUACCUAUGUAAGGUCACAAUGUUAGAGAUGUGAAAUUAUAUUGCAAUGGUCCCUAAAAUCCAACUUGAUCUAUAGGAAUACUAAUUAGGUGAAUACGAGGACUCUGAUUCGACUCUCGAUCUUUCCUAUCAAAUUACAGUAAUAUUUUUAAUCAUACACUCAUCCCCUUACUAACUUCCUAUGGGCCCAAUAUGUUGAGUAGAAUUCGAUUGGAACAACCGAAAAAAAAAAAAGAAAAGAAAACAAAUACAAAACAAUGAAAUAGACACUUAGUCAAGUUGGAACCUAUGAGGAAGUGAGGAGCACAAGUGCGAACAGAUCACCAAGGAAAAAGAAACAAGUUUUUCGAGAAUGCAAUUUGAUUUCAAGCUCAAUCAUAUUCUAAGAGUCAAUGAUAAGAUAGAAAAAAUGUAGGUCCAUUGUUAAAAUAUAGACGGAGAUAGUUGCUUAUUGAGCGUUGGAAGUAUUUCAUAUGCUUGUAAUUAUAUCUCAACUUGUAUAAUUUUAAUUUAAUAAGAUUAAAUUAAUGACCAUGUCAAUGAUUUAUGCGUCAUGCAUGACAUUCUUUUUUCUUGUACUCUCCCAAAAGCUGAAAAUUCUCGUCUCAAUCUCCUCCUCCACCGAUGGCUGCAUGUCUGUACAUGUUCCCCCACAACAAGAAUAAUGAAUCAAUUGCCAUAAUUGCACGCAUUUAAAUUUUCUGAGCUGGUGAUAAAUUGCAUAGUUUUGAUUUUUUUCUAUUUCCGGUUCCCACUCUAGCUACUUCUAGAUUUAUUAAUUGGAAAAAAAAAAAGAAGAAGGAAUAAAUUAAACCUUAUUUAAUUACUUUUUUAGUCAGGAUAUCUAUAGUAGAUGUAAUUAUCUCUAUAGAAAUGAAUGAAGCAUCCUACCUUGUGAUCAUUAUCCUCUGUUGCAAUUCUCUUGUUCAAACUUCAAGUUAAGGUUUGUUUGCUAAUUUAAUGGAUUCAGAACUUAAAUUUAAUGGAUUCAGAUCUUAACAUGUUCAAAUGCUUUUGAUAACCAAAACUUGAAUAUUUGAAUUAAUUAAGUGACACUAAAUUUUCUAGACAAAACUUACUCCUAAAAAUAAGUGAUAAACUAUUUACUUAUCACUUAAUGUGAUAUAUACUCAAAUGUAUCAGAUGUAGUACAUAACAAUUUAAUAACUUAAUGAAUUCAGACUUCAGAUUUCAGAUUUCAGUUUUAUCAAACGCACCUUAACUCAGUGCAAACUAAAUAUGAAAUCCAAAGUUGAAAAUCCAAGAGGUUAGAACUUUGAAACCAUAGAGCCUCUAGGCAAAUUCAGCAUUUUUACAUUCUAACUGAUUUAGGGCAUCUUCAAUUAUCAGUUUCAACUCCAUGGUAUAAUAUAGAUAUUACCUCUAAUAGUUGAACACACUUACGCAACAAAUAUAGGGCCUGUUUGGCACCCUAGUUUUUUACCAAGUUUUUUAGCUACUAGUUUUUUAACAACUUUUGCUACAGGAACCCCAAAAAACUUUUCAAAGUUUUUUACCUACACACUUCAAAAAUCUAUACACAAAAAAUUUCUCAAAAACUUUUCUUCCUCCCUCACCCAACCCACCACACCAGACACCGCCUCCACCACCUCUCCCGGCGCCGGUCACUUAAUCCGCGCGCCGCCGGUAACCUCAAAAAAAAAUUUUGAAUUUCUGAGUCCCUCACCCUCAAAAAUUUAUUAUAUAUAUUAUAUAUUUAUAUAUUUAUUUAAACAUAUUAUAAAUAUUUUAUUUUAUUUAAAAUAUAUUUUUAUAUAUUUAUAUAAAUAUUAUAUACCAUAUAAAUUAAUAUUAAUAUAAAUAUGUAAUUAUACAUUUAUAUAAAUAUUAUAUAUUAUAUAUUUAAUAUAUAUUACACAUUUAUGUAUAUUUAUAUACAAUUAUAUUAUGUAUUAUGUAUAAUAUAAUACAUUUAUACAUAAUAUUAACACACAAUAUUAAUUAUACAUUUAUACAUAAUACUAAUACAUUUAUACAUUUAUAUUAAUUAUAUUAAUACAUUAAUACAUAAUAUUAUAUAUUUAUAUAUUUAUAAUAUAUUAAUUUAUAUAUUUAUAUAAUAUUCAUUUAUAAUAAUAUACAAUUAUUACAUUUGUAAAUAUAUUUAUAUUAUGUAUUAUAUAUAAUAUAAUACAUUUAUAUAUUUUUAUAUACCUAUAUAAAUAUAUUUAUUUAUAAAUGUAUUAUAAAUGCAUAAAUAUAUAUAAAUAUUUAAACAAUAAAAAUUAUAAAUUAUAAACAAUAUUAAUUAUACAUUUAUACAUAAUAUUAAUACAUUUAUACAUUUAUACUAAUUAUAUUAAUACAGUUAUACAUAAUCAUCAUAUAUAUUUAUAAAUUAUAAUUUAUACAUUUAUAUAAUAUUCAUUUAUAAUAUAUACAUUUAUAUUAAUUAUACAUUUAUACAUUUAUAAAUAUAUGUAUAUUAUGUAUUAUAUAUAAUAUAAUACAUUUAUAUAUUUUUAUAUAAAUAUAUAAAUAUAUUUAUUUAUAAAUAUUUAUAAAUGUAUUAUAAAUGCAUAAAUGCAUAUAAAUAUUUAAACAAUAAAAAUUAUAAAUUAUAAACAAUAUAAUUAUACAUUAUACAUACAUAUUAAUACAUAAUAUUAAUUAUAUUAAUACAUUUAUACAUUUAUACAUAAUCAUCAUAUACAUUUAUAAAUUAUAAUUUAUACAUUUAUCUAAUAUUCAUUUAUAAUUUAUAAUUUAUAUUAAUUAUACAUUUAUAAAUAUAUGUAUAUUAUGUAUUAUAUAUAAUAUAAUACAUUUAUAUAUUUUUAUACAAAUAUAUUUAUUUCUAAAUAUUUAUAAAUGUAUUAUAAAUGCAUAAAUGUAUAAAAAUUAUAAAUUAUAAAUUAUAAAAUACUCAAAAAUAUGUUUUAAAAAUACCUCUAAAAAUAAUCCAAAAAACGUCUACAGUAACAUUUCAAAAACUUCUACAAAAAAAUUUUUCACCUUACAAAAACUUCUACAAAAUUUUUUCAAAAAUUUCUACAGUGCUCUACAGUAAAGUUUUAGACAAACUCCCAAAAAACUCAGGUUCCAAACAGGCCAUAGAUUGUGAAAUUAAUUGUAUAAGUUUGAUAUUUUGUAGGUUUUGGGAUAUAAUUUUCACGUUUAGGAAAAAGAAAAUAUGUUAGUAAGUAAUAAUGUGAUACCCCUUGUCCCACGUUGGAAGUGGGAGAGGAAAAGGAUUGAUAUAUAUACAAGAUUUGGUCGCAUAAGUUACUAGUUACUUGGGCUAACCAUGUCGGGAAAGUGUAUUUCGAUACAAAAAUUACUUAGGCCAACCAUGGGCUUGGAUGGUGAUAAAUAACUUACUAGAAGCCAGGCAUAUUUAUGUUUAGAUGUCCUAAAAGCAGAGUAGUUCAUAAUCUAGAUAAUGGUAACGAUAUGAUUAGAAUGUGAAGUUAUUUGGUAAACUUUAUAGAUUAAUAAUUUCAUCAAAGCAUCAUAUACAAGCAUGAUGACACAAUCUCAACUUUCAUUCUUUUGUUAAAUCUUAGUUUUUUUCUCUUAAAUUUUUUCGAAUAAAGGAAGGAUGGAAUUUAAGCAGUAGAGGGGUGGAAGGGGAAUUUGAAGUCAAAAUCUCUAAUUUCUAAGUUUUCCCCUAAGCAAUCGUCAAAAUCAAAAAAAAAAUUAAAAGAAAAAAAAUGAGCACCUCAUGGUCAAUGCUCCUGUUCGAAGAUUUAUUCCUUUGGUUUGUCAUCAUCUCCCUCUAUGAAAUCUAAGUACCCUUGGUUGACAAUUUGUUUCCCUGAGCAUCCAUCAACACUUUUAUAUAGUAUUUUUUUUAAUAUAGUAUUAGAUUAGAUUAGAUUAGAUUAUCAAUGUGUUAAUGCGCAAAUUAGGCAGUUUAUUUGUUAAUAUUUUCCCCUUUAUUUUGACCAAAUGUUGUGAUAAUUUGCUAGAUUCUACUUAUAAUUGAAUUUUUGUGUGAUUUCUAGGAACUUCAAGUUAAUUGAGGCAGAAAAGGAGAAAUCGAAGCCUAAUUGAGGAAAUUCCAUUAAGAAAAUCUUGAUACAAGUUUCUUAGUUGAUACUAGAAAGCACGCAUCCCAUUUGAUAGGGAAUGAAGCAGAAAACUACAAAAAAGGAGGGACUUUAUGGAGAAUAUGGAGACUUCUAAGGGCUUCAAACCUUGGGCCCUUGAAUUGUGGGGACCACAAAGCUAGUGAAAGAUAUUUGGUCAUUUGGGCUCUUCAAAGAAAGCAACGUAGAGAGACUUGGAAGAAGAAGUAAUUUUGGAGACUUUGUCCACAUGUGGGGACCACCGGAGAUAGCUUUUAGUCAUCUUACUUUUGGCUUUUUAAAGUGAGGACGUACAGAAGCAAGAGGACACCGCUAGUUUAGCUUUUUAGUUUAGUUCUAGUUUCCUUUCUCUUGACUGGCCUCUGACACACGCCAGGUGUUCGACAAUAUUCCCCAACGGGAAAAACAUAUUUUAUUCCUUGCUUUCUAGUAAAACGCAAUGCCUUUGCAAUCCAUUACUUCGUGUGGUGAUUUAAUCAUGAGGCGUGGCUAAGUUUAUCUAGUCAGAGGUUAAAUCGAAGCUUUGGUUCGACAAAACUGUGAGAUCGAAUUUAUUUGCCUACGUUCUUUAAUUUGCAAGUAUUUAUAUAUUUCCUGUUCACUUAUGCAUAUGAUUAUUUCUUGCAAUUAAAUACUUGAUCACUGUUUAAUUGUGUGAGUAAUUAACAGCCAUCUACGAGUGCUCAAUCCGUAAUUUUGGGUAAUUUUAGUGCAUGUGGCAAGUGACAUGAUUCAAUUGUAGUAGAAACUUUUGAGUUGUUGUUGUGGAAAUAUAUGAUAUAGCCUAAAUAAACCGAGCAUGUGUGUUUGUUGGUUAUAAUUGGUGGCCAGUCUAAUGAUUAAUGCUGUCAAUAGGUUAAAUCCUAAGAGCGUGUUUAGGACUGCUUAAUUGGCUAGGGUAAUAACUACAGAGCUUGUUGUGGUUAUCGAAUCAGGAAGGUUAGGCAGGUUGUCAGAGCUUGUUGACAACCAUAACCAGUUUAUUUGUAAAUGAAAGAUUUUAUCUCUGCAUCUGUGAUCAGUGAUUCGAACCAUUAGUGGAGAUUAUACCUUUGACUAGAGAUUUUCCUUCCGUUAAUUUACUUUAUAUUUAUUGUUAUUUAUUUUAUCUGCGAUUGUCUUAUUUUUAAUUUGAGCAAUUAAAUUAGACAGUUCCAUAUCAAUUCCCCCCAUUUUUAUUUAAUGUUACAUUCAUUCAAAAUAAAUUCCCAAGUCGCUGGAUUCGACCCUGCUCACUGCUAUAUUCGAAUUUUGUCUUUCACGUAAUUAAUAUACUUUGGUAUAUCGGAUCAAGCAAACUCUGGCACCAGGGUGAAGCUAGUAACCCAUUGCACAGCCUAAGUCCCUGCUCCAGUACCAUAGUGGACUUAAUUCGUGACUUAAGAGUAGGAAUUUUAUUUUUGCUGGUUUGACACCCACCACAAUGCACCAUCAAAACACUUUUAUAUAGUAUUAGAUUAGAUUAGAUUAUCAAUGCACCAUCAAUAUCCUUAAAUAUAAAAGCUUAAGUAUAGUAAUCAAAAUACUGUUAGUAAUCUGUACGAUUAUUUUUUAUCCUUUAAUGUUUUAGUUUUAGGAAGAUCACAAAUGCUGCGUAUAAAGCAUGCCAUAGGCUAAAUUAAGCUAAAUUAAGUACAUUGCUAAAAUGGAGAGCAUUGGUAAAUUAAGUACUUUAAGAUAAAGACUUAAGCAGCCAGAUCCAUUUGAUGUCAGCUGCUUCAAUAUCCACCUCAAAAUAAAUUAGCCUUUGUUCUAGAUUUAGCUUAAUGCUAAGUCCCUUAACCAUUCUUAGUAAUAAUUCAACUCUGCCUCAAUUUUCUUCUGAUCUUCAAGGUAAAUGUACGAUAAAUUUCAAAAUAUAUCCCAAAUAUAUGAAUUUCUUGAAACCAUCCUUGAAUCUCAUUACCUACUCAACAAAAUGUUCCAUAAACACAAAGAAUUGACGAGAACAACAGGGCUCCUUAGAUUUAACAAUUUCAAAUAAGCCCAAGCUAGAAUUUUUCAUAUAUUCAAACAAGAAAUUGGAAAAAUCUGACUAAGCAAUACUGAAUUGUAUCGAAAACCUACUUUUUUUUUUUUUUCCUGCAACGAUAGAUUUUUGUAUUGAUUGGCAAAAAAACUUAUAUGAGCAAAGGCUCAAGGAAUUCUAUACAAGAGUGUUAGACACACUGAGGAUUAAUCCAUUCCUCAUCUUGAAAUAUGCCCAAAGCAUAAUCACUAAUCACUUCACAUCUAGAGUCUAAGCUCCUAUCUAAGCAAAAGGAGCAUUUCUGAAAUAAGGACCUGAGGUCGUUAAUAUCGUCUAUCAAAGUAGCCAUUUUGAUGUCCUUAGCCAUCCUUUCCUUUAUCAUCUUCAGUAGUUGGGGGCUGGGGAUGUGGACAACAAUUUCCUUCCAUUGCUGGUGUCUAGCCUUUAUGAUGGCCAUUUUCACAGCUUCUGCAGUAGACUGCAUCUGAUGCACUGUUUUUCUGUCAAUAAGUGCCCAGGCAGCCACCCACUGAUUGUUGAAAGUAGAUGCAAAAAUCCCCAUUCCAACUCUGUUGGUUUGGUCUUGCACCUUAGUUGAUAUUCUGAUCUGAAUUUCAUUCCUUCUUGCCUCCUCCGGAUCAACUUUCUCAUCUGCUCUUACCGCAUCUUCAGUGAAUAUUUUCUGCUUGCUCUGGACAGCUUUUUGUUCUUGCCAUUCCUGUUGAGCCUUUUGGAUUGUUUUCCAAGGGUGCCUGUGUUUGGCAUUGAACUGCCAUUCAUUUCUCCUUUUCCAGAGUUGCCAGAGGAUGUUCACAGUGAGCUCUAUAUGCUCCUUUCCUUCUGUCCUGCAUGUAGCUUCCAGAAGAGCAGUCCACCAAGCUUGAAAAUUCCCUGUCUGUUCCCUUAACCCAUCCCAUUGUAAUGGAGCCAUUUUCCACACCUCUUGUGCUUUGCUGCAUUGGAAAAACAUGUGUUCAAUUGACUCUUCUUGUUCACCACAGCCACCACAGAUUGGAUCACCUUUGUGUGUUCUUUUAAAAACCAGGCUGUUGACUGGUAAUAAACCAUGUAGGCACUUCCAAAGGAAAUGUUUGAUCUUACUCUUAACGUUCAGCCUCCACAUCCACUUCCAUUGCUUUUCAUAGGAACUUGCUAUACUAUUUCCGCCUCAUUCUCUCUUCUUCCUUUGUGUUGAACAGUUCCUCUACACAAUGCCUUGUAACCUGAGUUGACAGUGUAGAUGCCAUUGCCGCUAUGUAUCCAGUAAUUGCUAUCAUCCUUUCCUGAUAUACUAAUAGGAAUCUCCAGAAUUUCCUCUGAGUGAUAAGCAAUACUGAGUGAUGAUAUUUUUAGGGCAGUCCAAUUCACUCAAUACAAAAAUAUUUUUAAAUGAUGAUAUUCACAGGAACGUCUAUCUUACUUAAACAAACAAUAAAAAGGAGAUUGAUUGAGAAAUGGCCACAUUAUCUUAUCAUUCUUAAUUAUCAUUAGUUCAAUUAUCAACUUUAGCAGUCGAGAAAGGCUGCAACUUGUACAGGGACAAUAAAUUCUUUAGGGCCCAAUUCUUUAUUCCUGCGUCCGGAGAAUUGAGACGUGGACGCUUCAUUAGUCAAUAAUAAUAAAGUGUGGAAUUCGACUACUAUUCUUAGCUCGUUCAAGGAAACAGAGAGGAGACGCUCUUGCACAGCUACUUAAACUAUUGGAUAAUUUCAUAGACCUUUCCUGAAGUUUUGGACAAUUUCAGCUAGUACCCCUCUUAUUUUCAAUAUUACGCUGACCACUCUUACUUUAACCAGUGACCAAUUCAGCCCAUAUAUGUAAAAGAAAUGGAAUAAAUUGACAAGAAAUGGUGUCAUCACAUUUUAUUCCAUAUUUUCCCUUGGAGACCCUAAAAGAAAUAUUGUAACAUAGGACAAACUUCACUUUGUCCCUCCGAAGUUGAAUCACUUUUCUAUUCUAUACACUAAACUUCAAUUUUGGAUGCUUUGCAUGUGGUUGGAGGCAAAAGCAUGGCAGAGCCCUUUUUGAGUCUCUGAUCUUUAUUAUCACAUGACCAUUGCUAAUUAUACUAUUGCUUUUGAAUGGAAAUAGCAUAAAAGUCUUAGUGAAUGAACAAAUUGAAUAGACCAUUUCGCAGAGCAGUGAAAUAUUCCAAAGCCGUGAAGCACAGUGAUAAGCUACAAAUUACAGUGGUUUAUAUUUAUUAAUUGUCAAUGAAUGGUUGUAUUUGAGCUAUAUUUUGAAUGGAUGUUGCCUAAUUUAAGUAUAUGUUGGUUUUUGUGGGAAAAGCACGCGAUUGAGGAGGAAAUGAAUCGAAACGCAACAAAAGGGGAAGAAUGCCAAGACACAAGGAUCCGUGGGUGGAUCCUAUGUCCAACGCCAAACAUUGAAAGGGACUUUGCGAGGACUUCUUCUAGUUCUAAUGAUUGGAAAACCCACUCAAACUCGAUUUUUGGUAAGUUUUCAAGACCCAUUCUUACCAUAUUUCGGAUACAACUUUGAGAGACUAUAAGGACAAUCUAGGAUGUUUUUAGAUUGGAAAGCAUUUGGCUAAAGUUAGUUCAUCAUUUUUAUACCUUCUUUUCUUGAGAGAUCACAAUGGAAGUGUUGAAAAAUCAAAGGAGUUCAAGAUGGAGAUUGGAGCGGGGAAAAAUUGAGAAGUUUUCUUACUUUUAACUUCUUAAUUAUUUUGUCUUUCAUUUGAAUUCUUGGAUUUAUCUAUGAAUAUGUUGAACUCAUUUAUAUCCAAAGUUAGGAUUUUGUGAAGGAGAUUUAAUUAUUUGUUUUAGAUAAAUUAUUCGCUUUGCUUAGAUUUAUUUAUCUUGCCUUUAUUACAUGUUUAUGUUUUGCCACUAUAGAUAUGCUUUUAGGAUUUGUAUUGAGUUGAGAAGUGAUAUACAACCGUACAUUAGAUAGAUAAACAUACUUAGUAUAAUCAUGAAAGUGGGUUAAACAUUGUAUGGCAUAAUUAUAUCACCUAAUAUUUUAAAGGAUUUAAUUAAAUACUUAUAAUCUCGAGAGCAACGCGAGAUUUCAUUAGACAAAUUUAGAAAUAUCAACAGAUAAUCUAAAGUACUUUUACGUGAUACAUCUUUGACUUGUUAAGAAAAUAAUUGGAUAAAUAAUUCCAAUUCUGAAUCAAAAUUUAAAACUCUAGUCUUUUGCUAAUUGUUUUCUCACCUAUAUCUUGUUUGAUUUGAUUAUUUAUUUAAUUUCUUAAUUAGUGAUUAAAAAUCUCUGAAUUUAAAUUUUGUUAUUUUUAUUAGAGGAAUUAAAGUAGGAAAAAUUAACUCACUCCUGCAGGUUCGACCCCUGGAGUACUCCAAGGAAUUAUUAUUACGAUCGACCUUGUACAUUAUAGAAAUUCAUCGAUCACACAGCAACUAAAAAAAAUUAAUGCACAAUAAUGUCAUGAGCAGAAACAGUUCCCAUCUUAGUUGUUCAACAUUCACGGUGGAUUUCAAUUAGUGGUCAAUAGAUAAAGGCAUCGAAAAAAGUAAUCUAACUAGAUAAGUGAAUUUAUAUUGUACAACAUAUUUCUUUUUUCUACCGCAAAAACUUAACUAAUUUAAGACAAUGUAGUCCAAGCUAAUUGAAGAUUAAUUUUCCUAAAAAAUGUUCAUGAUAAAAACUCAACAAAGAGAUAAUACAACAGCUUACUUUUGGAGGUGAUCUUAUACGGUCUUUAUUAACAAACUAAUUAGCCACUUAAGCCUUUUUUUUUUUUUUGGGACUACAUGACAAAAUGAGGAGUGAAUCAGUCACUUAGUAUCUAAAAUUUUCCCUCCAUAUAAUUAGUUCAACCUGAUUUAAGACUAAAUUUUUACUAUAGGAAUGUUCGUGAUUCAACAAUGAAACACCAUAGAAACUUAUUUUGGGAGAUUGUCCUAGAAGAUAAAAAAUGAGCAACCAAUCAGAAAGUCGUACUCACAUAUCAAAAUCCAUUCAGUCUAAUUAAUUCACCAGCUAUGUAUAUUUCAUCCAUUUUCACAUUAUAGAAAGAACAAUAAUGCAUGGCAUUAUCCAUCAUAAAUUGCUCAUAUAACAUCAAGAUAUUCAUGGUGUGGACCUCAAAUGACUCGUCAUGUCUACUGGCUACAUUUAAACAUAUCUUAUGGCCAGAAUGUUCAUCUUAUCAACUUAACGAGUUUAUUCAUGGUACCAUACCAUUAAAUUAAAAAAUUUCCACCUUUACCUUUAUAGAUGUCAAGGAAUAUAGCUAAUAACGCACUUUUGGCAGCAAUCUUCCUUCACCAAUUAAAGAUUUUCGGAGCUUAAAGUUCAGCUCCUAAAGCUCUUCUCCAAGUCUCACAAACCAACAGAGAAAUUACUUUUAGGAAAGUUGUUAAAUUUUGGCUUUGAUGGUAUCUUGGUAAGAUUGGAAGAUUAUAUUGCGCUUCUAAGAUAAUGUUUAAAAAAGCUAUUUUAGUGAGAGCAUUAUGGUCAAUUUGCCCCUGAUGAUAUUGACAUUAGGUCCCAUCAACAUCAGAAGGGAGCUCAUUGUAUUAUUGGAUAUAACAAGGGUGGUAGUGAAAUUAUGAAAACCCUCAAGGGAGGUUUUUGAAAUUAACCCUAAAAUACUCAUUCCACGCAAGGCGUGGCGUUCCCCUCCUAGUUCCUAUAAAUAGGGCACCAACUCAAUGCACUUAUCACUCGACAUCAAUAAUUUAGCACAUUAUUUACAUUUUGAGUGAGAUUGUGAUAAAAAUGGCAUCUUCAAAAAAUUUGCUCUUUCUUAUUGGUGUUCUCUUUGCACUUGUGCUCCUCAUUUCCUCUGAUGCAACAGCUGCAGGUACCUAGUCCCUUUUUUUUUUCCUUUCUUCCUUUUUUUUUUUGGCUGCACCUAAAUACUUAAAUGAAUGGAGAUUUGGAGACUCAUUAUUGGGAUGUGAAUUUUUAUGGAAGGCUAUUUGUAUAUUAUCAAGCAAGUCAUAUUAAUGUGCUAAUAUCCUUUUCAUUGUUUAGCAAAAGUAAAUUGGGUUGCUUCUAUCAAUGGUUAGUGGCACAUCUGAUUUUUCAUGCAUCCUUAUAGUAUUGCUGUAAGGAUACACGUUCCAUAGUGUCGCACCAAAGGUUAAACUAACGUCGAAAACCAAAUUAAAUGCUUCUAAUUAUAAUUUAAAGCAAAUAAUUCAUAUCCAAGUCGCACCAUCUUAUAUGCCUGGACUGUUUUGUUUAAUCCAUAGUAUUCUUUUCUUUGCAUAUAUCUUGCAAAUUUUCAGCCUAGCCGGUCACCUAACGUUCGCAGCUUAAGAUAAAGCUCCAAAUAUUUAUGUCUCCUUGUGUCUUGAAACAGAUCAGAAGAGCGUGAAAACCACUGGUGUCCACGAUGCCAGUUCAGGCAAAGAUCGUUGCAGACAUGGUUGCUGCCAGUGGUACCAUGGACACUGCCAAAGAUGCUGUCGAACUGCCGAGGAGACCCCUGAAGCCACAUCUGGAGAUGAGGAUACCGUCACCGCAGAUCGUUGCAGAUAUGGUUGCUGCCGCUGGUACCAUGGAUAUUGCCAAAGAUGCUGUCCAUGCAGAUAUGGUUGCUGCCGCUGGUACUAUGGAUAUUGCCAAAGAUGCUGUCCACCUGCUGAGGAGACCCCUGAAGCUACAUCCGGAGAUGAGGUCAAAAAUUAAUGCUAAAUAAAUAAGGGUGUGACACAGGAUCCGUGACACCUAUAUUAUUACCUUAAUAUGUUAUGUUGUGUUUGCCUUUGAUGGUUGAUUUCCUAUAUGUGUAAAAGACUUGUGCGGCUUCUCUUUGAAUUGGUGUAGAAUCAACAGGGGAAGCAUGUAAUGAGUACUCAGUUCGAGUGCUCUUCUUAUGUUGUUGUCAUGUUGAAUAAAUAAAUCUACUUGAUCAUCUACUGCAAUUGAUGAUCUCUAUCUCAGUUACAUCAGAAACUUCUGCACCUUGGACCUGCUAGAAUUUAGUGUGAUUGAUAUAAGACGUGCAGAAUGUUCACUAUAUGUAUAUAUGUGCUUCUUCAUCGUGCCAUGCCAUUACAAUGUGAAAGAAUUCAGCAUCGACGGAGUGAAACGUACCCAAUCCUGCUCCUGAGAAAGGAAACAAAGUCCCUCAAAAAUGGAUUUUUGGAUGCCAUCAAGAUUUUGAAUUGAAUGCCAUUUGGAGAUCUGAAUGUUGUUUUCUUUUACCUUUAGCUUCGUUCAAGAUUUUUUUGGUGGAAAUGCUUCAUUUAUACGAAUUUUCCUAGUUAGUAAAUGCUUCUAUUACACUUGUACAAUACACAUUUAAAAGUAUAACACAAUAAAAGCUUGUGUAGUUCAUAUAUUUCAAAAUAUUCAUACUUUUCAACUAAACUAUAAAAAUACGUAAUAAAUUCUUGAUACAUUAUACUUUACGAACUAUACUUUAAAUUUUACAAAUAUUUAAUACUAUCACUUAUCAAUAACUCCACAUGUUAAUUUGUCUCCCAAUUCAAUAAAUUAUAGUAGCUAAUUCUCAAAGCUAACCGACACCAAAAUUCCCUCACUUGUUCGAUUUAUAUUAAUUACAUUGCAUUUAUUUCCUAAGCAUGAGUUUUGUAACCCCUCAUAUUAAAUCUCAAUGAUUGAUUUUAACGGUUACCAAGGCGUCUAGUAAUUGGUUUGCUAUUAAUUUGAACUAGACAUUUAUUAGGUCUAGUAGAAUUUAUUCCUUCUUAUCACUUAGUUCAUAAACCUUAUGAAUCGUUAAAACCAGCUCUAACAUUAGCUAACAAGACUUCUACAAUUUCGGGUUUUGCGUAGAAAUCAGUCUGAUAGUUUAACUUGCUUCGUCCAGCUUUAUGAGUUGCUUUUUUUUUUUUCCAUAUUUGACAUUUCAUCUGACUUUAAUAUGGGGACCAAGUUAGUAUUGUUGACAUUUCAUAUCUAAGACCAAGUUAGUAUUGUUGACAUUUCAUCUGACUUAAUUAGUAUUGUUGACAUUUCAUAUCUAAGACUUCUUAAUUAAUUGAUUUGUUAUAAGAACUAUAACGUAUGCGUGUUUUGUAAGCUUUCAUGUUUUUUUUUUUAAUUCUUGUGGACCAGCAACGGAUAGUUUCUUCUAGUACCAAGCUUCCUUUGAAGUUCUUUAUUUAUUUAUUUUUUUGCGUGUCCAAAUGUAAAUUAAAAGAACCAACAACUUUGAACAAGUCUAUAUCUAGUAAGGAUAGAUAUAAAGAGAGAUACCAUAUCACUGCAACAGAAAAGGGAUUUGGCGAGGAGCAAAAGUCCAUGCCAAAAGUUUUGAAUUCCUCGCCAAUUAAUUUCAGCGAGAAAAAUGCUUCCUCGCCAAAUUUCUUGCUAGAUGCUUGUCGCUAAAAGUUAUUAGCGAGGAUGCUGCUGUUUUUCUCGCUAAUGAAACAGAUCAAUAGCAAGGGUUGACCUCCUCGCUAAUAGCUCAAAUACUCUGGCGAGAAAAGCAGCAUCCUCGCUAAUGAAACAGAUCAAUAGCAAGGGUUGACCUCCUCGCUAAUAGCUCAAAUACUAUGGCGAGAAAAACUUUUCUCACCACUAAAAUUAAAAACUCCUCACAAAAACCAGUAGUUCCUUGCAAAUAGUCAAGGUGUUUUGCUAGGAAAAAUAGCGCAUCCUCACUAAUAGUAUAGAAUUAGCAAGGAGUCUUUUGACAAAUCUGCAAUGUCCCACGUACCAGCAAAACAUUUUUGGCCAGGAAAGUUUCCUCUCUAAUAAGUGAUAAUUGAUUAUUGCCUAACUGUUUGGUGGGAAAAUGUUCCUCUCCAAUGCUGUUAUGAACAUUUCUUAAUCCCAUUUUAGCAUGCUAAUAUUCUCUGAGCAAAUUACUGGGUGGUUUUAUUAGAAAAUUUAGCUGCAAAUAGCUUCAAUUUGGCUUCUCACGUGUCUGUUGUACAUUUUCCAGGUUCUUAUAAGUAUCAAAUUGUUUGGCAAAAAAAUUUUUUUUUAAUGAAUCAUGACUAACGUAGCUGCUCAUUAAAUUUAAACUCAUAAGCCCUGCUAUUUGAUAGCUUUUUGGAAUAUCACUUUUUGCCAACAAACCCCAUUUUGCUACUUUGAUAAACAUUCAAUAGAAAACAUACAAAAGCUUUGGUUAGCUAAAAAUAAUUGCUAGCAAAGUAAUACAUCAACAUCCAGCUCUUUCAACAUCUUGAGCCAUACAAUAGGAAGUGCUUGAAAUCAAUUGGCAAUCCAAAUUUCUUUUAGCUCAUUAACCAUCCAAGAAAUCGUAACUUCAAUAAGUCAUUACAAAAGAAGAUUUCAUCAAGAGAACACCACAAAAAGGAGAAGCAGAAAAAAAUAUAACAGAGAGAGAGAGAGAGUUAAACUAGUCAUAUGGACACAUAUUUGUCACCUCAGUAUUUCCGAUUCCUUAAUUCAGUCCAGUUAUCUUGGAACUCUACCGGCAAUCCAUGGAACAUUUUUUGAAUGACAAUAUGGUGUUGCGACCUUCUGAUGAAGACUUCAAAGGUUCUAUGAUAGGUUGCAUUUUUGUCAUUAAUUCUAUGAUUAUUUUCCUCGUUUAUAUUACCAAAUAUUGUAUUAAUUGAUUGAUUCUACUUAUAUUUGGUAUUUUGUGUCAAUUGUAGGAAGGUGGAGCAAAAAGUAAUAAAAGAGGUGAUUUUUCAAGAGUUUUCCAAUUCAAGAUGAAGUUUACGUCGAGUAUUGGAUGAAAAUUAGGAAACUACCACUUUUUAUUAGAUGUCUUACUAGGGAACAAUUAGCAUUAGUUGGAGAAGUUUCUUUUUGCAAUUAGCAUUUUAUUUUUAGUUGGCCAAUGGAUGGCCAAAGUAGUAGACUUCAAUUCGGAAACAAAGAGAGAAAAAAAGCCGGAAUCCCGCGUGAUUACUACCUUGGAGGGAACAAGAAAAAGGAGAUGGCCGCUGUCUCUUCUUUAGUGAGUCUUUAGGGAAAAACCAAUGGUUAUCGAUGGAGUUUUGCGGAUCUCCCCUGAGAAUGUGUAGCUAAAUCUUCGUUUUCUAGUCGAAUGUCAAUUUGAGGAUUUUGUUCCAAACAUUUGUGAGAUCGAAUUAUUUUACUUAUUUCUUUAAUUCAUUGGUAUUUGUGCAUUUUCUGAUUUAACUUCUUAUGCUUGUUAUGUUAUUUGAAUGUCAAGGGCCUGAUAUUCGAAUUAACCUAAUAAUCUACUGUCAGAUUAAUUGAUUGAAUCCGUAAUUGUUCAAUUGAUUAAUACCAGUGGCAACUAGCGUGAUUGGUUUCAUGUUAGAAAAACGUAUGAUCUAACUUAAAUGAACCCUCAUAGCAUGUUUGUUAAUGGUCGUACCUAGAGUUAUUUUUUGGUUAGGGAAAUAGUUAAUGGUUGUACCUUAACUAUCGAAAAAGUAAGGAAAGACUAUUGUUUAUCGCGUGUAUGACAACUAUAACCAAUCUAUUAAUUAGUAACUGAAUUAUCUUUGCGUCGAUGAUCAGUUGAAUGGACCGUGUCUGAAAAGUUGCACCUUUGGCUAGAGUUGUAUUGGUUAUUGAUUAAUUCCUGUUUAUUUCUAUUAGUUGUUUCAUUAGUUGAUUAAUUAAUUAUUUUAUAUUUUCAAAAUCCCCCAUACUUCGACUCUGGAAGAAAUGAAUUAUCUCCAGUCCCUAUGGAUUCGACCCUGCUUACCGCUAUAUACAAAUUUGUAUUUUUUUUGAGUAGGUAAUUAAUAUUACACAGGUUCGACACCUGUCAUUCUAUAACUAUAUACAGAGUCAUCUUUUCAAAGAUUUCCCAUGCUGCAAAAUGUCUCUAUGAGCUUUAUUUCAUCUUCCUCCCUAUAAAUUUUCUGAUUCCAAUCUGCCUAAGAUGUUCAACAAAGCGUAUUGGGAAAACUGUUUGAAAAGUAGAUUCCAAGUCCUUGUAUAUGCAAAGUCCUCCUUACACAACUUUACAUAUUGAGAAGAUAAAAAAUUGCAGAACAUAAUAAUACUUGAAAUUAGUGAGAAUAUAUCCAAAAAAAAACAAAAUAUUAAUACCUGAAAUCAAGUUUUACAAUCAGUGCACAAAAAGCACCUAAACCCAAAUGGCCCAUGUUUUGGAAUAGACCAAGUUUAGUUCAACUGCAGAAAUUCCUAGUACAAAUGGAGCAACUUCAACUUCAGUAAAUUGCAAGCUGGUAUUAUGAUUCUAUGAAUCCUGAAAUCUCCCCAAGUCCUCUUGCCUCCAACACUAAGUAUGUACACAGACGCUGACCUGUUCUAUAUACUUGUAGGUAAAUUCAGAUCAGACGCAUUCAAUAGAACUGCCUUGAUUUGGCUCCAUAUCAGCACUACUGCUCUUUAAAUCUAACUUGAUUAAGCUGCACAAAAGGGAAGAUUACAUUAGAUGGAGAAAUUUUACUGAUUGCAUAUGAAAUAGGGGCUAAAACCAACUAGGAAAAGCAGAGAAGUUUCUUAAAUAAAUAGGUAUUUCUGGGCGUCUGUGGCUAUGUUCUUUUGCUAUUCAAGUAGAAAUAAGGAAAUGAAGAUUUGAAAUCAGAGUUCUUCACCUGCUUCCCGUAUUGCUUUUAUCUCUUUACAUUAGUUGCUUUAAAGAAUUAAAGAAAAGUAGCAUAAACUUACUCUUGCGUAUAUUUUUUUCCUUGUUUCACUCUUACAUGACAAGGGUACAAAACCUAAUUGAGGGUAAAGGAUAAACAUGUCCAAAUGGAACACUGUUGGAAGGACUGUCCUCAAUGCCUAAACAGAGGUAGUUUUAGGAGUUCUAGAGUCUAGACAUAAGAUUUGUAGCAAACCGAAAAAAGCAACCAAAUGAACGUGUUUCUCGAUCUUCGGCAUCAUUUAGCAUUCGGAUCCUAGCUAGCAAAGACAGUAGUAAAUCAACUAAUAUAUCUUGUUGAUUGCACUGCAUUGGACAUGCGCCAAGCUAAAAGUUUUUUUCUUUUAUUUAGCUUCUUCAAUCAAAUGAAUGAGUAUCUGAUUUGCAAUUUGAUUUCAGCACUAUUCAGGUUGUGGAUCAUCAUCGAAUGUGGAACUGCAGAAAAGUAAUUCAAGCAGUUGACUAUUGAACCACACCGCUCUCUGCUCAAAAGUCUUCGGUGCUCUAUUUUGAACAUGAAGCAGUAAUUGGUCCAAUAAAGAAACUUCCUCGCGGAUCUGCCAAAUAACCCCCCCCCCAAAAAAAACACUCCGACUUCCCUUCCGGCCAUCAACGCCUCCAUUGCUCAUUCCCACCACAUGCUCUAAUGUCAUUCCCUUCCUAGAAAGUUGUUCACAGGGAAAAGAGCGAGAAGAAAAAAUACUAUCUUAAUAAAAGGUCGAAAGCAGGUACUACUAGUUUUUUGUUUUUACACCAAACCAAUUAUUGUGGAUGUGGAUUGGAGAAUCAAUAAUAGCGUGUGUGGAUCCACCGAGUUUCUUAUAGCUGAUAAUAAUUAAUAAAAGAAAGAAAAUCCAAGCUCAGAAGCUGCUCCUCAUUAUCUUUCUCACAUGAGGGUAUCUUAACCUCCCCCAGACCCAGACCAUUUUCAUCCCCAUCCAAUUGAUUGCAGAAACCAAUAUAUUACACAUACCCACUAACCCUACUUAAGUACUAGUGUGAUAUAUCACUCAAACCCCCACCUAAAACUGACGGCACCACCAAAUCCUCCCCCCACGCGAACUCCGCAGGACACCCAGAUCCGUGAUAAAAAGGGAGGAGAGAAUUUAGUUGCCGAUCAUUUGAGUCGAUUGCCUAUUGUCAAGGAUGAUUUUAUAUUGAGGAAAACUUUUGCGAAUGAGCAACUAUUUUCUAUUAAUCCUCUCUUCCUUGGUAUGCGGAUAUUAUUCAUUUCUUUUUUUUUUUUACAGAAACGUUAGGAAAUAUAUUGAUUUCAAACCAAGCUAUACAAACUUGAGCAACGGCCCAAAAGGAUAUUAUUCAUUUCUUGACCACUAAUCAAUUGCUUGCACAUUGGUCAAAAACAAAAUGAGAUAAGCUCAGACGUGAUGCUAAGUAUUACUUAUGGAAAGACCCCUAUUUAUAGAGGCAAUGUGCAGAUCAAAUACUGCGCAGAUGUGUAAGUAAGAGUGAAUUUAAUUCUAUUUUAAUAUUUUAUCACUCUUAUGCAUGUGGAGGCCAUUUUAGAUCACAAAGAACUCUUGUAAAGUAGUGGAAAGCGAUUUUUAUUGCCCACAAUUUUCAAAGAUACAUACUUGUUUUGUAAGUCAUGUGAUAGAUGCCAAAGGAUAAGAAAUAUUUGUCAUAAAAAUUAGAUACUAAAAACCCUUAUGAUUUUUUGUGAAAUUUUUAUGCAUGGGGUAUUGAUUUUAUGGGUCCAUUUCCUUCGUCUUUUGGUUUCCUUUACAUCUUGUUGGCGUAGAUUAUGUGUCCAAGUAGAUAAAAACAAAAGCCACCCGAACUAAUGAUUCUAAAGUGGUUGUAGAUUUCAUUCAAUCACAUAUUUUUGUUCAUUUUGGGGUAUCACGAAUUAUAGUAAGUCAUCGAGAAAAACACUUUUGCAAUAAAAUGAUGGCGGCUGUAUUUCGUAAAUAUGGAGUGACUCAUAAGGUAUUUAGUUCUUAUCACCCCCAAACGAAUGGUCAAGCGGAGAUUUUGAAUAGGGAAAUUAAAUAAAUAUUGGAGAAGAUGGUUCGCCCGAUAGGAAGGAUUGGAGUUCACAUUGAACGAUGUACUCUAGAUUGAUAGGACAGUCUAUAAGAAUCCUAUAGGUAUAUCUCCCUAUAGGUUGGUAUUUGAGAAGUCGUGUCAUUUACCGUUGAGCUCGAGCACAAAGCAUAUUGGGGGAUCAAGAAAUGCAACAUGGAUCUUGAUGAGGUGGAGUACAGAAAACUUCAAUUACAAGAAUUGGAAGAGUUGAGGAAUGAACUUACGAGAAUGCAACACUAUAUAAAGAGAAGAUUAAGGUUUUUCGUGACCAAUAAGUUGCAAGGAAAUCAUUUGUAGUUGGGCAAAGAGUUCUUCUCUAUCAAUCUCAUCUAAAGCUCUUUCUAGGUAAGUUGCGCUCUCGUUGGGCUGGUCCAUUUGUUGUGAUUAAUAUUUUUCACUAUAGUGCAGUGGAAAUUCAGAGUAUGCAGAUAGAUAAGAAAUUUGUGGUUAAUGGUCAUGUUUUAAAUCCUAUUAUGAAAGUGUUUCAAUGGAGAAGGUGGAGAUAAUAAAUCUUGAAGAUCCCACUUAUGCUACUUGAACAAUAUUCGACCAUGUCUAAUCAAAGACGUUAAACCAAGACGCUUAUUGGGAGGCAAUCAAAUUCUUUUUUUAUUGUUUGUUCACUAAUAUUAUGUGUUUCACUAUGUUUAUCUUAUGUUUUUCAAAUUUGGCAUUUAUUUUUCGUUUUUAAUGUUUUUGGUUAGAAGACUUUUCCCAACAAAACGUGCCCACGCGUUUAAGGGUAUGUGGUAAUGCACAAAUCCAAUUCCAUCAUCAGAAAACUAUGGACCAACAUGACGUGCCCAUGUCUUGAGGGUAUGUUGUAACUCUAAUUAGCCAACUUUAUCAUAAAAAGUGUUUCAACCAAUAAGACGUGCCACGUCUUGUCCUGCAAGGGAAAAAAACAAAUUGAACCCAAAAGAAUUUUUUUUCUUCUUUUUUUUUUCUUUCCUUUUUUUUAUUCUUUUCUUUGUCUUUCUUCCUCUUUUCUUUCUUUCCUUUCCUUCUUUCUUUUUUUCUUUCUUUAUUUCGCUCUUUCUUUUCCUCAGCUGCACGACCAAAACUCUACUUGCUGCUUGCCCGCAGUUCAUCGCCCACCGUCCACUGUUGUCGCAGUUCGCUAGUUUGUCUCUACUACCGUUGCUGUCGUCGUCGUUCGUCAAAGCCUGUCACUGGUUUCGCCAUCACCCGUCUCUAGUUUUGCUGUCGCUCGCUACUGUGCCAUUCACCGCUGCUAGCCCGCCAUGAACGUCCAUCCUCUGCCAACGACAGCCAUCGCUCCGCACUUUCUCUGUUGUCUUGUUUCUACUGACCCAGUUUUUGGUAUUCUUAUCCUUCUCUUUAAAUAUUGUUGGGUUGCUACUUCAGAGUUUAUUAGAAUUUCUUUUUGCAGGGUUGAUUUAAUUUGUUGAUUGGGUAUUCCUCGAAUUGUUGGAUUGGCACUACCUGACAUCUGCUUGUUUUCUGAUGAUGACCACCAACUUGCACUACUAUUUUGCAUCCAUGGGGAUUCAAUGCUGAUUGGAGGUAAUAAACUGUGGUGAAAUUGCCGCUACUUACUUGCCAAUUGCUGAUUUUUUGAUAUUGAUAGGGUAUUGUUCUUACAUUUCUAGUUUUCUUAUUAAAUAGUGUCACAUCUAUGGGCUCUUUACUGUACACUUUGAUUUGAAAUUGCUUGGCUAUCUUUAGUCGUUUGACAUACAUUAGAGGCUUGUAUUUCGCAUUGUCUGAAUCGUCGUUUACUGCUAUUUUGGAUUCAGUUAUCUAAAUGGCUAAGAAAAAAAAGACCACCAAGGCCAAGACCUCUACGACUAAAACCACUCCCCCAUCCCAACCAACUAUACCAUGACUGACCCUUCUACCAUCCUUCUGUCAGGAUCAAGCGCUUACCAUUGCACCAAAAGCUAUAGCUGUUAGCGAAGGCGUAACUUUAUUUCCUUAACCACAAUGGCAGCGCAAAGCACCGUACCACGCUAGGCCAGCAUGAGGGGCUGCACCCCUAGGUGCACGGGCUGGGCGGUUAGUCCCUUCGAGCCGGGAUCUGAGGGAUGUUGCUGAUUAGGCCAACAAUCCCCCCCAAGCAACAGCCAGGGAGACUCGAACCCGCGACCUUGCUCUGAUACCACUUGUCAGGAUCAAGUGCUUACCAUUGCACCAAAAGCUAUAGCUGUUAGCGAAGCGCAACUUUAUUUCCUUAACCACAAUGGCAGCACAAAGCACCGUACCACGCUCGGCCAGCAUGAGGGGCUGCACCCCUAGGUGCCACGGGCUGGGCAGUUAGUCCUUCGAGCCGGGAUCUGAGGGAUGUUGCUGAUUAGGCCAACACCUUCUUUUUCGGGUAAAUGGGCAUGCUUAGGUAGGGACAAGGGGGUCCAUAUCUCCUCACUCUCCCACUUUAGGGGUAAUUUGGCUCUCACCAAAGUCGUGGAUAAGCAAAGAUACUCUAAUUAUUAUGAGUGGCAAAUUAUUCCUUGUAAACAUCUUGACCCUCCCAUCAUGGUUUCUUUGAAUAUCUUUGAGAAUAUUGCACAAAUGUUUACUGCCAUAGGCUGGCAUUCUUAUGUCGAAAUACGAUGUCCUACUUUUGUUGAAUUGGUUAGGGAGUUUUACACCACCUUUGAGUUUGAUCUAUCCAUAGGGUAUUCUGUCACAACUUCGAAUGUGAUUCGAUUUCGAUUGAUGGGUAGGAGUUUAAGUUCUCCAUUACCGAGUUUAAUUUGGCCUUUGGGUUCAUUGAUAGUAAGUAUGCCAAUUCUAGGGAAUAUGCCGAGAGUGCUUGUGAUUAUAUUGACCCAUUUUUCUCCUUUCACACCGAGAUUUGAAGGAUGUUUCUAUUGAUGGUGAUUGUUAUGAUCCUAGCCGGUCAAAGAGCUGUUAUCUCAAGGACCUGAGUUCCUGUUAUAUUCAGCACUUUUUAGCCUAUAAUUACUCAGGUAGGAAAGAUAGUAACGAGACCUUUUCUAAGCCCAAAUUUUUCUUUAUUUGGUGCAUGACUAAAAAUAUCAAAGUUAAUUUGUGCUAUUGGCUAGUUUCCCAAUUCAAGACGGUUAUGGUUAAGAAACACAAACCUUUGAUUCUUGGGUCUUACAUCACACAUUUAGCUAUUCAUUUAGACAUUCUUGAUCCCCAUAACCAUGAUUUGUAUUUUGCUUGUAACAUGGACCCUUUAGAUAUGGUUUGUCUAGAGAAAAUGGGUGUAGUGGAACAGGUUGAUGACGCGUGGCAGUUUACUCUUUCGGGCCCACUCAUGUACCCGUUCGUCGUCCUUCUGUGUGUCUAGCACCACCUCUACUUCAGGAGUAGCUGAUGGCAAGCUUGGACCAUCUACCUCCGCACCUUCUCCAUCGUCAUCUUGGAUGCUGAGUGGCGAUACCUUCAUGCACAAGUUCACCAUAUGGAUGAACGGUUGACUAAUCUUGCACUUCACAUGUCCCAGAUGUCCUAGACUUUUGCGGCUUACUUCCACCAUGUGGGUUUUAUGCUGUCAUUCCCGCCUCAUCCAUAGCUGUCCGGAGUCCUUCACCACUUUCUUUAGGAAAGUUUCAUUGUCCCCUUCUUUUUCUUUUCUUUAUUUCUUCCAUUCGGGACAAUAUCAGAUUUAGGUGUAAGGAGGGAGUUGUUGUACAGUUGGUACUGUUCAUUUUUAGCUGUUUUCAUUUUCUCUUUGUCAUUUGUGAGUAUUUUUAUGGAUAUUUGGGAUCGACAAUGGUUAGUUGAUUCCAAUUUUUCUAUUACCAAGUUUUAUUUAUAAGAAUGUAUCAAGUGCAAUAUGGGUAAGUCUAAGAAUAGCUCCUCGGUGAAUAUUUGAGAUUUUGUGACUUUUGCAAUUUUUGGUUAGCUUUCUAGGCAUUGUGCAUAUUUUUCUAGUAUUUUCCAUGUAAAUUGGUUCGAUUAUUAAUUUUAGUUCUCCAUGUUUGAGAAAUGAUGCAAGCUUGUGUGAUUUUUAAUAUUAUUUUGUUGCUAAUUUGUGAAUAGUAUUCGACUAUAUUCCGCUGGUUAUCGCUACUAAUAACCGGAGUUUUCUCUUAAAGUGUCAACUUUCAUGUCAAACAGUAGCGGUAGCUAUGAGUAUGUGCCCUUAAAUGAUAAAAAGUUGAGUAACCUGAUUCCUUCAUUUAGUAGAUGUCAGAAUUUACAUCAAAAGACUUGAAUGGCUAACGACUAAAUCUUGUCCCUGAAAAAUGAACCAAAAAAGAAAAAAAAAAAGAAAAAAAAAAAAGAAACUGUGCGAGUAUGCAGUUGAUUAUGUUAGCUAUCGAUCCAUGGGUUUAAUGUUGAGAUUUUGGUCAAUAGUUGAGCCGUUUGCUGAUCAAUGCUAGUCAAAUGUUCUAUCGUCUUAGAUUAGUUAGUCAGAAUUGUAGAAGUCCUUGGUUUUAAAAGCUAACUGAAGAGCUAUUUCAUGGAACUUAGCUAUUAUACUUUGAUGAUAUUUUGACAGUAGACGAGUUGAGUGAUAAUCAUUGUUGGGAUUCAGUUGCUGAUUUGUUGUUUCUCAUACUUGAGACAAGUAUGGUCUAGGUGGGGGGAAAUUGAUAGUGUGUAAAAUUGUUAUUCAAUUUAUGAUUAUUUUUCCCUUUUAUUCUACUUAUAUUUGGUAUGUGAUGCUAAUUGUAGGGCAGUGGAGUGAAAGUUGCUAAAAAGGGACGAUUUCUUCAAAGUUGGUUGCCAAGUGCGGAGAUGCGGAAUUUGUAUGCAAAAGUUUCCUAAUCCAAAAUGGAGUCUGAGCAGAGUAGCGACUAGAGAUUAAGAAAGUUUUUCUUCUAGAGAUUUGAUUUAAUUAGGAAGCAAUUAGCGUUAUCUUUUAGGAGUGUUUCCUUUUUCAAUUAGAAGUAGUUUUAUUCUUGGAAGCAAGAAAAUAGGGGACGAGCCGUUUGACUUUUAGUACUUGACAAAAAACAAGACGUGGGAGACGAGAAGUUUUUGGGAGCGCUGGUGACUAGACUCGCCGGGAGGAAAAGAACAAAGAUCCUGUCCUCUUUGUUAUUGCUUUUACUGUCGUUUUCUAUUUUACUGGAUGCUUAUGCAAUUUAAUUCAAUUAAAUUGUGUUGCUUGAUGCCGAUGAUGUGCAACUAAAUUUUGCUUUUCUAGCCAAGAAAUAACGUGAAUUUGGGUCAUCAACAAUUGUGAGAUCUAACUGUUUAUAUUAAUUUCUUUUAUUCGUUAGUAUUCAUAUGUUUUUUGGUUUAAUUGCUUAUGGGUAUUAGUUGUUUGAAUAUCAAAGACGUUUGAUAUUUAAUUCAACCUAACAAACUAUUGCCAAUUAAGACAGUUAAAUUCACAAUUAUUUAAUUAUUUUAAAUUAGUAGCGACUAGCGUGAUUAGCUUUACGUCAGGGAGACAUAUGAUUUAAUUUAAAUAAACCCUGAUAAUGUGUUUAUUUAUUAGGACAAGACUUUUCUAGUUUCUAAUGCAAUCAAGGAAUUAAAUUCUAUCAACGUACCUAGGGUUAUUUUUUGGUUAGAGAAGUAGUUAACGAGUGUACCUUAACUAUUGAGACACUAAGGAAGAGCCGGUUGUCAUCGCGUGUUUGGCAACUAUAACCUGUUUAUUAACCAAUAAAUGAAAUAAUUCUUGCAGCGAUGAGCAGUUGUUUGACCUGCUUCCGGAGUUAUUUCCUUGGUUAGAGCUCGUUCAUCCUUGAUUUAAAUUUAAUCUGUUUUAGUUUAAUUAUUUUCAAUUUGCAUUGAUUAUUUAUUUUUAAUUGCAAUUUUCCAAACUCCCCCCAAUUAAUUGUCACUUGGAAAGAAGCAAAUUUUCACUCGAAACCUUGAGUUUAUAUCUUUUUGAGUAGGAAUUUAUUAUUACCCAAGCCUGACACCUGUCGAUUAACACAAGGUUUCGAGCAAUGCACAGUUUCUUUUGUAUCUAGAAUGGCUAAUGUAGUCAUAUGCUAGCAAAUUUUGCAAUAAAACUAGUUAAUGAUAUAGAAUGGGUAAAUGAUUUCCCAAUUCGACUAAUAGAAGCAGCUAGGAAGGAUGAGUGGGUGAAUGCCCCUGUUUGUAAUUAACUCUUGUACUUCAAGUGUUAAUAUAUAUACUGAUAUUAUCAUUUGUUGAAAAAAAAGGAAAGUGUUUAUUUGUUUAAUAAAAUAGUCACGGUAGUGUUUAUAUAAUUUUGUAAACAUUGAAAAGUAAAUUACCUCGUUGAUUUGAUCAUGUUGAAGAUACAUAAUCUUGAAAAAGGAUGAGUGGGAAGAUACAUAAGUUGUUCAAAUAUCCAUGGGACAGUGUAACCCCUUUGAAGGUCAAUUCUUAGACCCUCAUCAAAGUUUCUGGAGUUGCGUAUUAUAGGGGUGCAAACACAAAAACGAGACAUCCUUAGUCAAAUGGGGUUCGUUCUUUGUGCGAUUUUAAUAUAUGCCGCUGUUAAAAUAGGAUACUUUUGUGGGUUGAACUCUUUUGUGCCCAACAUGUGCCCCAGGCAUCGUUACUACAGAGUAUGUGAUCCAAUUACCUAUGUAAGGUCACAAUGUUAGAGAUGCGAAAUUAUAUUGCAAUGGUCCCUAAAAUCCUACUUGAUCGAUAGGAAUACUAAUUAGGUGAAUAUGAGGACUCUGAUUCGACUCUCGAUCUUUCCUCUCAAAUUACACUAAUAUUUUUAGUCAUACACUCAUCCCCUUACUAACUUCCUAUGGGCCCAAUAUGUUGAGUAGAAUACGAUUGGGACAACCGAAAAGAAAAGAAAAGAAAACAAAUACAAAACAAUGAAAUAGAGACUUAGUCAAGUUGGAAGCUAUGAGGAAGUGAGGAGCACAAGUGCGAACAGAUCACCAAGGAAAAAGAAACAAGUUUUUCGAGAAUGAAAUAUGAUUUCAAGCUCAAUCAAAUUCUAAGAGUCAAUGAUAAGAUCGAAAAAUGUGGGACCAUUGGAAGUAUUUCAUAUGCAAGUUGUAAUUAUAUCUCAACUUGUAUAAUUUUAAUUUAAUAAGAUUAAAUUAAUGACCAUGUCAAUGAUUUCUGCAUCAUGCAUGACAUUCUUUUUUCUUGUACUCUCCCAAAAGCUGAAAAUUCUCUUCUCAAUCUCCUCCUCCAGCGAUGGCUGCAUGUCUGUACAUGUUCCCCACAACAAGAAUAAUGAAUCAAUUGCCAUAAUUGCAUGCAUUUAAAUUUUCUGAGCUGGUGAUAAAUUGCAUAGUUUUGAUUUUUUUUCUGUUUCCGGUUCCCACUCUAGCUACUUCUAGAUUUAUUAAUUGGAAAAAAAAAAGAAGAAGGAAUAAAUUAAACCUUAUUUAAUUACUUUUUUAGUCAGGAUAUCUAUAGUAGAUGUAAUUAUCUCUAUAGAAAUGAAUGAAGCAUCCUAGCUUGUGAUCAUUAUCCUUUGUUGCAAUUCUCUUGUUCUUUUUUUUUUUUUUUCCAAAAGCGGCAAAUGUAUUUUAUUCGAGCAAAAUGUUAAGUACAAAAGGGUGAGCAACUGCUCUCAAAAUCUUCCCUGGCUGCAUGCACUAACCAGACAGGGAAAGAGGUCCUCCAAGAGGUUUCCUCACAACCAUUAAAAGCAAAAUGUGCCAAAGAGUGACUAACAAAGUUGCAAAUCCUUUUGACAAAAGAAAAACAACAUUUCUCAAAGAAACAGCUCAUCCGAGAGAUGUCUUCCAGUAUCAUACCAAUCCAUUUAUCGUUGCAAUUCUCUUGUUCAAACUUCAAAUUAAGGCCUUGUUUGCUAACCCAAUUCAGCACUUAAAUUUAAUGGAUUAAGAUCUUAACAUAUUCAGAUGCGUUUAAUAACCAAAAGUUGAAUAUCUGAAUUAAUUAAGUGACACUAAAUUUUCCAGGCAAAACUUACCCCUAAAAAAAAGCGAUAAGUUAUUCACUUAUCACUUAAUAUGAUAUACACUCAAAUAUAUCAGAUUUAAUACUUAUAAUAACUUAAUGAAUUCAGAUUUCAAUUUUAUCAAAUGCCCCCUAUCUCAGCGCAAACUGAAUAUGAAAUCCAAAGUUGAAAAUCCAAGAUGUUAGAACUUUGAAACCAUAGAGCCUCUAGGCAAAUUAAGCAUUUUUACAUUCUACUGAUUUAGGGCAUCUUCAAUUAUCAGUUUCAACUCCAUGGUAUAAUAUAGAUAUUACCUCUAAUAGUCGUACGCACUUACACAACAAAUACAGAUUGUGAAAUGAAUUGAAUAAGUUUGAUAUUUUGUAGGCUUUGGGAUAUGAUUUUCACGUUUAGGAAAAAAAAUAUGUUAGUAAGUAAUAAUGUGAUACCCCUUGUCCCACGUUGGAAGUGGGAGAGGAAAAGGAUUGAUAUAUAUACAAGAUUUGGUCUCAUAAGUUACUAGUUACUUGGGCUAACCAUGUCGGGAAAGUGUAUUUCGACACAAAACUUACUUAGGCCAACCAUGGACUUGGAUGGUGAUAAAUAACUUACUAGAAGCCAGGCAUAUUUAUGUUUAGAUGUGCUGAAAGCAGAGUAGUUCAGAAUCUAGAUAAUGGUAACGAUAUGAUGAAAAUGAGAAGUUAUAUGGUAAACUUUAUAGAUUAAUAAUUUCAUCAAGGCAUCAUAUACAAGCAUGAUGACACAAUCCCAACUUUCAUUCUUUUGUUAAAUCUUAGUUUUUUUGUCUUAGAUUUUUUUUCAAAUAAAAGAAGGAUGGAAUUUAAGCAGUAGAGGGGUGGAAGGGGAAUUUGAAUUCGAAAUCUCAAAUUUCUAAGCUUUUCACUAAGCAAUCGUCAAAACCAAAAAAUAAAUAAAUAAAAAGAAAAAAAAUGAGGACCUUGUGGUCAAUGCUCCUGUUCUAAGACAUCAUCUCCCUCUAUUGAAAUCUAAGUACCCUUGUGAUAGGGUGUUAAUUGUUGGUAUUUUUAUUAUUAAUUUUCCCUUCUAUCCCUGACAAAUAUUGUGUUAAUUGCUGAUAUUUACUCAUAUUUGGUAUUUGGAAUCAAUUUCAGGAAUGAAGCAGAAAACUACCAAAAAGGAGGGACUUUGUGAAAAAUAUGGAGACUUCAAAGGGUUUCAAUCCUUGGGCCCUUGAAUUGGUGGGGACCACAAGCUAGUGAAAGGCAUUUGGUCAUUUGGGCUUCAAAGAAAGCAACGUAGUGAGACUUGGAACAAGAAAUACUUGGGAGGCUUUGUCCACAUGUGUGGGGACCACCUAGAUAGCUUUUAGUCAUCUUUCUUUUGUUGCUUUAAAAGGGGACAACGUACAGAAGCAAGAGAUAUCUAGGGCUUUAGUUUGUUUUUUAGUUUAGUUCUAGUUUUCUUUCUUUGGACUGGCCUCUGACACACGCCAGGUAUUCGACAAUAUUCCCCAACGGGGAGAUUUUCUCAUGAGGCGUGGUUAAGCUUUUCUAGUCAAGGGGACAACUAAAGAUUUGGUUCAACAAUUACUGUGAGAUCUAAUUUAUUUUAAUUGCUUCCUUAAUUUAUUGGUAUUUAUAUGUUUCCUGCUUUUAAUUGCUAUAGCUCGUGUGAGUGAUUGAAUAGAUGCGCAAUAUUUAAUUAUUCAUAUAGGCUAUUUUGCUAAAUAGGGGUAAUUGAAUCCGUAAUUGUUCGUUAUCCCUAUCUCAGUAGCAACUGGCGUAAUUGGGUUUAUGACAGGGGAACAUACGAUCUAAUUUAAACAAACCCUCGUAGCGUGUUUGUUAGUUAGGAUUGGGCCUUUCUAAUUAUUAAUGCAAAUCUAGAAAUUAAAUCCUACGGUCGUACCUAGGGUUGUUUCCUGGUUAGAGAAAUAGUCAACGGUCGUACCUUGGCUAUCGACAAAUUAAGGAAGGGUUGGUUGUUUAUCGCGUGCAUGACAACUAUAUACUAAUCUAUUAAUAAAUGUGGAAUUAUCUGUGAAUCAAUGAUCAGUGCCUGAACCAUUUCUGAAGUGUACCCUUGGCUAGAGUUUUCUCCAAUAAUUAUUCCUUUUAUUUAUUUUCUGCAUUUAAUUUAUUUAGUUAGCAUUUAAUCCAAAACCCCCACAUACCUUGGACUCUAGAAGAAACGAAUUAUCCCCAGUCCCUGUGGAUUCGACCCUACUCACCGCUAUAUACAAAAUCUGUAUUUUUCUCGAGUAGGUACUUAUUAUUGCACAGGUUCGGCACCUGUCAAUUUUUGGCGCCGUUGCCGGGGACUGGUGCCUGAUUAAUUUGUUUCUUUUUGAAUUUAUCUUGUUUUCAUUUUUUUAAAAUUUAUUUUUCUCUUAUUUUUUCUUUUUUUUAUUAUUUUUUUAUGGCUGCUAACAUUCAAUAUUUUGAUGAUAGACUGGACUUUGUUCCUGAAUGGGGUUAUGAGACUCAUGUUUUCCCUAAUGAUCAAUGGGCUGUUGCAAAUUGUGGAACUUAUUUUGAUUCAAGUUAUUCAACUGACACAUGCCCGCAUUUCAAGAUAAUCUAAGUGCUCCAAUUGAUACUUUUGGAGAUUUUUCACCCCAAUAUCAAACGCAGCAUGACCCUUAUUCAAACGGGUAUGAUCAAGGAUGGUGGGAUAAUUCCAAUUUUGAUUAUGCGACCGGGCCAAUGGAUUUUCAACAGCAAGUGUCUCAGCAAUCAUCCUCCGUGUCAGGCAUGUCUCUUGAAGAAAUGAUGGAAUUACUAAUUGCUAAUACAAAUCGAUUUCAUCAGGAGACACAGAGCCUAAAUCGAUUUCAGCAGGAGACACAAGCGAGCCUUCGCGACCUGGAUCAGUACCUAUUGACAUCCAGAAUAAAUCGAUUGGCUUCUCAAAGGGAAGAAUUGCCCUCGAAAACCAUAGUUGAUCUAGAAGAAAAUGAGAGUGCAAUUGCUUGACUAGUGAUGAGAAGAUGCAAGAGUGUCAAAAUGAGAAAUCUACAGAUGCAGUUGAAAAAGAAGCCGAAAAGGAAGAAAUGGAACCCCAACCGCAACCCAUUCAAGUGAAUGAAUCCAGUGAACAAUCUCCAAAUCGGUACAUCUUCUCCACUCCUUAAUCAAUAUUUUCCUGACUCCUAUUCUUCAAUUCCUGUUACUGAAAUUGAUUUAUUAUACCAGAAAUUUUGAAAUUUCAUGACAGGAAUAAGUUAAGAGUGGCAAUGAAAAAAUAUCUUGAACCGAAAAUGCGUGUGAUGGAGGAGUGAGUGGAGAAUGCAGAUCAUUGUUGACUUGUUUAGCGCUAUUCACUAGUCCAUGGAAGCCGUAACUCGUAUGCUCAAGGAUUAUUCUAUUUACGAGGGUUAUCAGGACUAUAUAGAGGAUGAAGCAGUAAGACGAGCCACAAGAUUUUAUCCUCCAUGAGCAAAACAUGAUAAUGUCUAGCCAAAGACAUUAAAGAAAGGCGCUCCUUGGGAAGGCAACCCAAUUGUUCCUUUUAAUUGUUUGUUCAUUUUCGUGUGGUAUUUAGAUGUAUUGUCGCUUGAAUUCGACUGAUUUUGGUUUCAAUUUUCGUUUUGCUGAUUUAUAGGUGUCUUUCAGUCAUGACGCUCCCGCGUGGUGAUGUGCAGGAAGCUCACGAUCAGAAACUUCUGGGAGCUCUCUUGCCCUCAUGACGUGCCGCGUGGUGAUGUGCAGGAAGCUCACGAUCAAAAACAUCAGAAACUUCUGGGAGCUCUCUUGCCCUCAUGACGCGCCCGCGUCACGUUCACGGGAAAGGUAAGGAUUCAAAAAAAAAAAAAAUUUCUUUAUAACCGUAGCUACCUCUUUUCUUUUUUGUUACAAAGAAAACAAAUAAAAAAUAAAAUAAAAAUAAAAAAAUUUUUGGAAAAAAAAAAAAAAAAAAAAGAAAAAGAAAAAAAGAGGAAGUAAUACGGAAUCAAAAGGAAGAAUUUUUCUUUCUCCUUAACCGUACUAGUCCUGACUUGUCAACGUAAAAACAAAAAAAAAUCCCUUUCUUUUCUUUCUUCUUUUCUUUCUUUCUUUCUUCUCUUCUUCUUCUUUCUUUCUUUUCUUUCUUUCUCUACUCUGUUCCCCUGCUGGUCCGUCGCCCUGCUACCCGCACACUCCAAGCUCAGUGGCAGUCCAUCAGCCCUCGCGCGCAGCUCUCUCCCCAGCGAGCCGUUGCGCCAUCUCCACCUGCGCGCUCCAGCCGCCACCAUUUCGCCGCUGCCUGCCACAGCCCAAGACCACCGCCGUGCGGUCAACCUCAGCGGCCACCAGCUCUGCAACUUCGUGCGCCACCAGCGGCUGACCACCAGACACGCCACCCACCUCGCUUCCCUCUCUCUCCCGCGGCCAUCAUCAGCUUUGCCUCACCUCACGCCAACCACUACCACCCCAGUUCUUUAUUUGGUAGCCGGUAGAGGUAUUUCAACCUCGAUCCCCAAUUUUUGGUGUUGAUUGGUAUCAUUUAGCGGCUGUGUUACUUUACUCCGAAUUUGUUCAUUUGCUGUUAUUGCCUAUCUAAUUGAUAGUACGGGGAUUAUGCCUGUGUUACUACGGUCUAUAUUCUAACUUGCUAUUUCGGGUCGGCCAAUUUCUUGGAAUAUUUAUUGUGUUUUUUGUGGAUUUGAGUUCAAUUGUUUUGGGUUAUUGGUGUUUGACAGUUGCCCUGCUCUUGGCCUCUUUGAUUAGCACAUUCGUUGAAAUUGGUUGUGCUCUAGCACAGUGCCGGGGGACAUUUUUUCAAACUUUUGGGGGAAUUGUUGAAGUUCUUGGUGGGCUGGAAUUUUAACAAUUGUCUGUGAUAUUUUGGGAAGGAUCUCGGCCAGUGUUGUGCUUGUUGAAAUUUUGGUUGAUUUAAUUCGGCAACUGCAUUCCUUGUUGGCAUUAGUAGUUUUUAAUCGAGUUUUUGAGGACAUUUGGGAUGUUGGUUUAUAUUGCUGAUUUGGAGGAACAGUGUCUGUGGUUUUGGUCUGAUCAUUUGUGCAAUUUGUUGACUCAUUUGAACUUAUUUGUUUCCUGGGUUGUUUAUUAACUUCGUGGACUGGUUCCCACCUACGGUUCCUCUACUUGCUCUAUUCAUUGGAAUUCCAGUCGCCUGUUGUUCUUCUUUAGAGGUUUAGAAUCUUUCUUGUGAUUAGAUUAACACUUGGGGCUAUUGCUUUACUACUGCUCUACUCUGCUAUAGCAAUUUCAUUGAUUUUGGACUACGUUUUGCACCAGUGGUACUGGUUGGGGGUAUUUUGAUUAGCAUUUGUUAUUUUCAAUUAGUUGGCUACCUGAUUGUGAUUGUGUGGUUAUUCUCCAACUUCUAUACUGCUAUUACUGAAUUGCUGCUUUUGAGUUGAGAAAUUAACUGUCUACUUGGAGGCUUUGUUGAGAUUUUGGGUGGACAGAGUUUUGCAUUUGCUGGUUGAAUUGAGUUGAGAUAUCUCAGACCUUGGCCGCGUACUUCUAUCACAUCAGUUUCCGUGGCACCUUUCCCGCCUACCCUUUCGCCACUCGUGAGGGAAGUUUCGUUGCCCUCUUCGUUUUAAUUGCUUUAAUCCCUCAAUUGAGGACAAUGUAGGAUCUAGGUGUGGGGGGACAGCUAUACUAGUUAUUUAUUUUUAGUUUGCUAUUUGUCCACCUCUCGUUCAUUUUUUUUUUCUUCUUUUUAGUGAUUGGCUCGUAAGUGCAUGCCAAGGUUUGAUGUUGAAUUAUUGCCUCUAUUUCUACUUUUGCCAAGUUUUAAUAAUAAAAGGGUACCAAGUUAAUGUGGUUGAAUCCAAAAACAUCUCUUUGGUGAAUAUCAAUGAUUGUUUUACUCUUAUAAUUUUUGUUAACUUUCCUAGGCAUAGGGAAUGAUUAUUGGCAUUUUCGUGUGACAUGGUCCGGUUAUUAACUUUAGUUCUCCAUGUUUGAAAAUGAGGUUAGCUGAUGCAAGUUUUCUUUUGGUUCUUGUGUUAUAUUGAGUUUUGUGAUUUUUAGCUAUGAAUAAACUUGACUGUACUCCGCUAUUAGUUACUACUGAGAAACCGGGGAUCUGCAGCUAAAAGUGUUGAUUCUCGCGUCAAAAGUAGUAAUUGCUAUGAGUACGUGGUCACGUGGCGAUAGAAGCUGAGUAACCGGGCUCCUUCAUCUGGCCAAUGUUGGAGUUCGCGUCAAAAGGCUCAAAUGGCUAGCGACUAAGUCUUUUGUUACUAUUGAAAGAAAAAAAAGAAUCAAAAAAAAAAGAGAGAAAAGUAGAAAAAAUGUGAAAAAAAUGAAGGUUGUGUUAGUGUGUAAUAAAAGUCAGCUUGCCGAAUUAUGGAUUUAAUGUUGAGAUUUUGGUUAAUAGUUGGACCAUUUGCUGAUAAAUGUUGUGUGUCAUUCCUUUUUCUUAGAUUAGUUAACCUGGAAUUAGAGGAGUUUGUGGUUUAGAAGCUAACCGGAGUGAUGUUUCUUGGACUUGACCAUUGAUGCUUGAAUAUUAUUUUUCUUGGUAUCUUGGCAAUUUGUUGGAUAGAGCAAUAGCCACUAUCAAAUAUUGGUGUUUGUUUCUUGUUCUCAUGCUUGAGGACAAGCAUGGUUUAGGUGUGGGGGAAUUGAUAGGGUGUUAAUUGUUGGUAUUUUUAUUAUUAAUUUUCCCUUCUAUCCCUGACAAAUAUUGUGUUAAUUGCUGAUAUUUACUCAUAUUUGGUAUUUGGAAUCAAUUUCAGGAAUGAAGCAGAAAACUACCAAAAAGGAGGGACUUUGUGAAAAAUAUGGAGACUUCUAAGGGUUUCAAUCCUUGGGCCCUUGAAUUGGUGGGGACCACAAGCUAGUGAAAGGCAUUUGGUCAUUUGGGCUUCAAAGAAAGCAACGUAGAGAGACUUGGAACAAGAAGUACUUGGGAGGCUUUGUCCACAUGUGUGGGGACCACCUAGAUAGCUUUUAGUCAUCUUUCUUUUGUUGCUUUAAAAGGGGACAACGUACAGAAGCAAAAGAUAUCUAGGGCUUUAGUUUUAGUUUUUUAGUUUAGUUCUAGUUUUCUUUCUUUGGACUGGCCUCUGACACACGCCAGGUAUUCGACAAUAUUCCCCAACGGGGAGAUUUUCUCAUGAGGCGUGGUUAAGCUUUUCUAGUCAAGGGGACAACUGACGAUUUGGUUCGACAAUUACUGUGAGAUCGAAUCUGUUUUUAAUUUUCUUAUUUAUUGGUAUUUAUAUGUUCCUUGAUUUUAAUUGCUAUGGCCUUGUGUAUGAUUGAUUAGUGCGCAAUAAUUAAUUAUUCAUAUAGGCUAUUUUGCUAAAUAGGGGUAAUUGAAUCCGUAAUUGUUCGUUAUCCCUAUUGACAAGGGUUUAUUUUACGUAUUUUUAGUGUGUUUUUAUUAGUUAAUUUUGGUUUGAUUAUUUAGUUUUAUAACUAAAAUAACUAAGGUUUUGGUAAAAAUCUACAUUUUAUGUUAAAUUGGCUAAAUAUUGCAUUUGAUGGAUUUUUAUGGUAAAAAACUUCAUAUUUUGUAGGUUUAAUGAUUCAAUCAUCAAAUGAAGUGCAUUGAGAAGAUAUUUGGAUGAUUGAAGAUGGAUUAAAGUGGGGAAAAUAAAAUAUGAAGUGUAAAAGGAAGAAAUGCAAUUUGAGGACAAAAAUCAAGAAAAGUCAGCUUUGACAACUCAGAUAUAUUUUCGUAUUUUGACUAUAUCAGGAGCUACAAUGAUCGGAUCAAGGUGAUCUUGGUACCAUUUUGAAGCUAAGAGAUAUAUCUACAUUUGGUAUGAAGACAUCAAAGUCCAAUUCAGCCGUUUUCUUGGUCAAAAGGUCGAAACACAGAAACUUAUCUGGUUGGUCGAAAGCUGAAGCCCAGAAUUGACCAGUCUAUGGUAUUUUGACCAUAUCUCAGUCCACCGAUCUCCAAAUUAGAUGAUUCUUGAAGCAUUUGAACUCUAAUUCAAAGGGCUACAACUUUUGUGUUUUGCACAAAAGCCAGUUCGGCCUUCAUCAUGGAGAAAAAUGCAGUUGAAGUGAGGUCAAAAGUAAAAAACGUGUAUGGCAGCCGAAUUUCUGUAAUUUGCUCAGCCAUUUUUCUCAUCUUCACACUACUUUCCAGCUAGAGUUGGAGAGAAAACGUAGGCUGCACAUGCUUCAGAAGACAUAAGGAAGAGAUAUAGCCAAGGUUCCAAGUCAAAAGCCAUUAUUUUUGACUCCCUUAACAAAUCCAGAUUUGGAGAAUCAAAGUGGAGAGUCAUAGCAGAAAUUUAUGACUGGUAAGGGAAGGACUUUUCAUCAGCUUAUAUGUAGAGACAUUUGAGGUCUAUGAGGAGAGAGGAAUCAUACGGGAGAAGCUUGAAGAGUGCAGAAAUGUAGUUCUUCCAUUUCCUUAGUGUAGGAUAGUGUAGUAAGUGUAGUUCAUCCAUUCUUGUAUACUAUCUAGAUUAGGAUGAAAAUGGAGAUGAAGAAAGAGAAAGUUGAAGCUCAAGUGACAUGGUUAUCUCUUCUCCAACUCUUUAUCUUUUGUAUUGGAUUCUUAAAUAUAGUUAAUAUACAAGUUCUGGAAUUUAUGUUAUUUAUGUGUCUUUAAAUUUAUACUUGGGUUUGGUUGAACUUCCUAUGAUUGUUAGUGUUUAUUAUUUGGCUAUUUGAUUGCUAGUAUUUGAGCAAGUUAUUUAGCACUUUGGCUCUUGAAAUCAUGAUUAAUCUGGUACCAUUAAUUCUGAUUAUCUAAGGUGUUAUUUCUGCAUGAAAAUUGAGAUUUAACAUUAGUUCAAGAAGUGCUAAACAUAGGGAGUACACUCACGAAAGUAGAGGUGCACCUAUGUGGUUUUUAGUGAUUCAUUUCAUGUAAUUUCACUGAAGAAAUGAACUUGUAGCUAAUUUCAUAACCAUGAGAAUAGGUAUGGAUCAGUUAUAAGUAUAAUUGAUUCACUGCGAAAGUAGGAUUCAAAUGCAUAAGGAAAUUACACCAUAAUUAGCCUAGAUGUAGUAUUCAAUGAUCCAAAUAUAGCACUUGCAUGAGUAGUUAGGGAUACCACAACCUAAGGAGCUUUUAUUUGUUAUUUUUGUAUAAUUUCAGUAGGUUAAAUUUCUUAUCAUUAUUGAUAGUCUAAAUAAUAGAGAAGCUUUAGUAAUACCGGUAAUUGUUCACUCUUCCUUGUGGGAUCGACGACCCGAUAUAUACCCUAAACUACUAGUUGAUCUGUAUACUUGCAGUGAACGGGUGUAAUUCGGUUUUUUAGCUUGCACGUAUGUAAAAUACCCGUCAAGUUUUUGGCGCCGUUGCCGGGGAAGAUUUGGCAAUAUCGGUGUGAAGAGCAACUUUAUUAAUUUAGACAAUUUUUCUUAUUUUUGUUGUUUUGUUGUAUCUUGUGUGUUUUAUGUCAUUUUUUUGAGUCAAUUUUUAUUAUUAUUAUUUUUUUCUGUUUUAGUUUGUGUCUUGGAAUCUAUCCUUCUUAACUAAUCUUACUUUUGAGAUUGUUUAAAAGUAAUUUUAGAUAAUGAGGAGGGUAGGUGAAUUGGAGGACAAAGCUUGAGAAAUGAAAGAUUGGCAAUGGAUGGUUACCAAGUGCAAAGCUCCUUCAACAGAGGUAACCAAGAAAUUACUGAGGUAUGUCUUUUGAAGAUGGUUUAAGGUGCUUAAAGGCAAAAUUUGAUGUUAUGAUGGACACAAUUAUGCAUGAAAUUGAGCAAGGGAGGAAUGUUAAUGAUUUUAAUUCUUAUCAUGUGAUUUGUGACUUGUGUGGAGGUUAUCAUGCUACUAAUACAUGUAUGCAAGCACAAAAUGUGGAUUAUUAUGAUGAAUUAGAGCAUUACAAUCCUUGUUUUGAUCGAUAUAGUGCUAAUUGGAACAAUUCUCUGUUAUGGUUGGGAUAAUCAAUGUACUUAUAUAAUUCUCAUAUUUUUACGAUUACCAACCUGAAUGUGUCCAAUAUGAAUCAAAACCAUCUUGGGAGUUGGCAAUUGAAAUGGUAGCUAAUGAUUCUAAGCCAUCUUGGGAGUUAGCUUUAGAAAAAUUAGCUAAUGCAACUUCCAACCGUUUUGAUAGGUUGAAGAAAGAAUAGAUGAACUGACUUCUCACUUUAGUAGAAUACAAGAGAAAUUGAAUGCAUUGUGUGAAGUUAUUUCCUCUAAAAAUUUGCAAAAUGAUCCUAGCAUGAAUGGUAGGAAUGUUGUAUGUGAAAAUGGAUUGCAUUUGGAUGAAAAUGAUGAAUUUCAAUUGUGUUUUAAUGAGCAAAUAUCCAUUUCACAUGAUAAUAUCUUUGGAACUAACUUUGAGCCUCAAGAGGUGAGUUUUAAUGACUCAUUUUUCACCCCUCUUGAGGAGUGCAUUGAAAGUAUAGGUUCUAAGGGUAUUGCUGCCCAGAUACUCUCAUGACAUUUCCGUUGGUAAGUUCUCAAGUGGUGCAUAUUCAAGGUAAUAUUUAUGAAACACUUGGGAUAGGUAAGUCAAUUCCAUUUCUCCUAUCAUUAGAUCAUGUGACUUUUGCUAUAAAGUCACCAUUUAAUGAUCCACCACGACCAAAAAUGGUGGAUUAUUCGUUAACUAAGCCUCCUUGAAAAAUGAGGUGAAAUAGUCAAGCUAUUGACUUUAAAGAAGCGCUUAUUGGGAGGCAACCCAAUGUUUGUUUAAGUUUAUGUUAUUUUGGGGUGAUUUUAUGUUUAAAGUAUAUGUUUGAGUUAUUUUGUUAUUUUUCAUUUGUAGGUAUUGGAAAUGGAAGCAAAAGUGACCAAAUGAGGUGAAAAAGGCGAAAUUUGAUCAAGGAACUCAACCCCUCAAUUUGAGUAAUUGUUGUUUUUGAUUUGUUAGAAGGGGUUAAAAUGCAUAUUUUGAUCAUUUUACAUGUGCAUGCAUUGAGAAUUUUAGCAAACAAAUGAUCUAUGAUGCAUUUUGAGUGAUUGGGGUACAAUGGUAAUUUUUCAAAAGUUGGCUUUCUGCAAAAAUUUCGCAGAAGAAAACGCACUUGGGCUGAAAACGCGCCUUAGAAUCGCGUUUUCCAUAAUCGCGUUUUCAAUUCUGCGCCUAUACUGAAGAAAACGCGCCUUCAAAACGCGACAGGAAGUCGCGUUUUCUACAAGUCGCGUUUUACAGCCUGAUCAAAAAAACGCGCCUUCAAAUACGCGACUAAAGUCGCGUUUUUCACAGUCGCGUUUUCGAUCCUGCAAGAUAUGUGAAGAAACGCGACUUCAUAAAACGCGGCUUGUGGCGCGUUUUGAUGAGUCGCGUUUUCUGAGCACCUUUUUUAAAAAAAAAAAAUGCAGCUUCCUUGAUUCUCUUUUUCUUCUUUUCCUCAUAUAUUUUCUUGUACCUUGAGUUGCUUAUUGUGUAUUUUUAUAGGUACAUCACCAACAAAGGCUUGAAUUACGGAUCGCCGUUUUGUUUAUUAAGCCUUUGUUAUCACUUUUGUUUCUCAUUUUCAUUUUUAGGUUAUAUCACUAAUGGUUACCAAUGGAACUCAUGAAGCGAUGAGACAACGACAACAUACCUUGAAGCUUCAUAUUCAAUCACAACAAUAGGGGAGAUAUUAUUUUUUUAUCUUGAUUUUCCUUUUUACACAUUGAGGACAAUGUGUAUGUUAAGUGUGGGGGGAGAAUUGAGAUUAUAUACAUUGUAUGUGAUUGAAUUAUUAGUUGCAAAUAUUGGACUUGUGUUAAAAUUCAAAAUUUUUCUAAAAUCUUGUCCAAAAUUGCAAACUUGCCCCAAAAAGUUUCAUAUUUUUUCGAUUUUAUCCAAGGGGUAACAAGUUCCAUACCAUUAGUAGUUCAAAUUCCUUCUACAUUUGAGAUAAAUAUAUGUGAUUUGGAAACUUCUUUUCUCAUUUAACUUGGAAAUGACUAUUAUGUGAUUAUAAUUUUUGCAUUUGUAGGAAAGUAUAUCUUUUAAAGUGGAGAAAAUUAUACCUAUAUUUUUUUUGCAUAUUUGAUGAAAUUUCUUCUCUUUAUUGGAUUUUAUAAGUUAAGUGAUAAAUAUGGUCAAUAAGUGCAAUACUCUUCUCAUGAUUAUUCUUUUGAGGAAUUUAUUAUUAUCUUUGCUGUAAAAAGAAAAAAAAUGAAAAAAAAGAAGAAAAAAAAAAAAAAAUCUAUUCUACUCCAAUGAUUCUUGUACUUAGUAACCGGGAGUCUUCAUCUACAAAUGUCGACUUUCGCGUAAAACGGUACUUGAAUUAAGAGUAUGCAAAGCAACUUGAGUAUGUGAAGUGUUGAGUAACCGGUGAUCUUCAUCUAAAAAUGUCGAUUCUCGCGUCAAAAGCACUUUCACAACUUAAGUAAUAUUUAGCUACGUUAUAUGAAUAAAUAUCUUUUAAGUAGAAUAAGAAGAUGAUCAUGAGUUUAGGAAGCAUAUUUAUUGACCAUAUGAGUUACUUGCGUAUGAAAUUAAGUAAGAUGAGAAAUUGAAUUAAACUUGUUAUAAUUACGGUAUAAUUGGCUCUCCUUUACUUGAUAUUAUGAGUACUUGAACUUAAUUGAAUAAUUGCAUAAUGGUUAUUUACUUUGUUUUGAGGAAAUGAAGUUGAAAUGCUACAUAUUUAUUUUCAAAUUUUGGAUCAUUGUUGGUUUGUAUUUUUAUUGCUUGAGGACAAGCAAUGGUUCAAGUGUGGGGGUAUUUGAAGUUUAUUUUACGUAUUUUUUAGUGUGUUUUAUUAGUUAAUUUUGGUUUGAUUAUUUAGUUUUAUAACUAAAAUAACUAAGGUUUUGGUAAAAACUACAUUUUAUGUUAAAUGGCUAAACAUUGCAUUUUAUGGAUUUUUAUGGUAAAAACUUCAUAUUUUGUAGGUUUAAUGAUUCAAUCAUCAAAUGAAGUGCAUUGAGAAGAUAUUUGGAUGAUUGAAGAUGGAUUAAAGUGGGAAAAUAAAAUAUGAAGUGUAAAAGGAAGAAAUGCAAUUUGAGGACAAAAAUCAAGAAAAGUCAGCUUUGACAACUCAGACACAUUUUCGUAUUUUGACUAUAUCAGGAGCUACAAUGAUCGGAUCAAGGUGAUCUUGGUACCAUUUUGAAGCUAAGAGAUAUAUCUACAUUUGGUAUGAAGACAUCAAAGUCCAAUUCAGCCGUUUUCUUGGUCAAAAGGUCGAAACACAGAAACUUAUCUGGAUGGUCGAAAGCUGAAGCCCAGAAUUGACCAGUCUAUGGUAUUUUGACCAUAUCUCCGUCCACCGAUCUCCAAAUUAGAUGAUUCUUGAAGCAUUGGAACUCUAAUUCAAAGGGCUACAACUUUUGUGUUUUGCACAAAAGCCAGUUCGGCCUUCAUCAUGGAGAAAAAUGCAGUUGAAGUGAGGUCAAAAGUAAAAACGUGUAUGGCAGCCGAAUUUCUGUAAUUUGCUCAGCCAUUUUUCUCAUCUUCACACUACUUUCCAGCUAGAGUUGGAGAGAAAACGUAGGCUGCACAUGCUUCAGAAGACAUAAGGAAGAGAUAUAGCCAAGGUUCCAAGUCAAAAGCCAUUAUUUUUGACUCCCUUAACAAAUCAGAUUUGGAGAAUCAAAGUGGAGAGUCAUAGCAGAAAUUUUGACUGGUAAGGGAAGGACUUUUCAUCAGCUUAUAUGUAGAGACAUUUGAGGUCUAUGAGAAAAAUCAUACGGGAGAAGCUUGAAGAGUGCAGAAAUGUAGUUCUUCCAUUUCCUUAGUGUAGGAUAGUGUAGUAAGUGUAGUUCAUCCAUUCUUGUAUAUAUCUAGAUUAGGAUGAAAAUGGAGAUGAAGAAAGAGAAGUUGAAGCUCAAGUGACAUGGGUUAUCUCUUCUCCAACUCUUUAUCUUUUGUAUUGGAUUCUUAAAUAUAGUUAAUAUACAAGUUCUGGAAUUUAUGUUAUUUAUGUGUCUUUAAAGUUUAUACCUUGGGUUUGGUUGAACUUUCUAUGAUUGUUAGUGUUUAUUAUUUGGCUAUUUGAUUGCUAUGAUUUGAGCAAGUUAUUUAGCACUUUGCUCUUAAAUCAUGAUUAAUCUGGUACCAUUAAUUGUGAUUAUCUAAGGUGUUAUUUCUGCAAUGAAAAUUGAGAUUUAACAUUAGUUCAAGAAGUGCUAAACAUAGGGAGUACACUCACGAAAGUAGAGGUGCACCUAUGUGGUUUUUAGUGAUUCAUUUCAUGUAAUUUCACUGAAGAAAUGAACUUGUAGCUAAUUUCAUAACCAUGAGAAUAGGUAUGGAUUAGUUAUAAGUAUAAUUGAUUCACUACGAAAGUAGGAUUCAAAUGCAUAAGGAAAUUACACCAUAAUUAGCCUAGAUGUAGUAUUCAAUGAUCCAAAUAUAACACUUGCAUGAGUAGUUAGGGAUACCACAACCUAAGGAGCUUUUAUUUGUUAUUUUUGUAUAAUUUCAGUAGGUUAAAUUUUUAAUUCAUUGAUAGUCUAAAUAAUAGAGAAACUUUAGUAAUACCGGUAAUUGUUCACUCUUCCUGUGGGAUCGACCCGAUAUAUACCCUAAACUACUAGUUGAUCUGUAUACUUGCAGUGAACGGGUGUAAUUCGGUAUUUUUUAGCUUGCACGUAUGUAAAAUACCCGUCACCUAUCUCAGUAGCAACUGGCGUAAUUGGGUUUAUGACAGGGGAACAUACGAUCUAAUUUAAACAAACCCUCGUAGCGUGUUUGUUAGUUAGGAUUGGGCCUUUCUAAUUAUUAAUGCAAAUCUAGAAAUUAAAUCCUACGGUCGUACCUAGGGUUGUUUCCUGGUUAGAGAAAUAGUCAACGGUCGUACCUUGGCUAUCGACAAAUUAAGGAAGGGUUGGUUGUUUAUCGCGUGCAUGACAACUAUAACUAAUCUAUUAAUAAAUGUGGAAUUAUCUGUGAAUCAAUGAUCAGUGCCUGAACCAUAUCUGAAGUGUAUCCUUGGCUAGAGUUUCUCCAAUAAUUAUUCCUUUUAUUUAUUUUCUGCAUUUAAUUUAUUUAGUUAGCAUUUAAUCCAAAACCCCCACAUACCUUGGACUCUAGAAGAAACGAAUUAUCCCCAGUCCCUGUGGAUUCGACCCUACUCACCGCUAUAUACAAAAUCUGUAUUUUUCUCGAGUAGGUACUUAUUAUUGCACAGGUUCGGCACCUGUCACCUUGGUUGACAAUUUGUUUCCCUGAGCAUCCAUCAACACUUUUAUAUAGUAUUAGAUUAGAUUAGAUUGUCAAUGCACCAUCAAUAUCCUUAAAUAUAAUAGCUUAAGUAUAGUAAUCAAAAUACUGUUAGUAAUCUGUAUGAUUAUUUUUGAUCCUUUAAUGUUUUAGUUUUAGGAAGAUCACAAAUGCUGCGUAUAAAGCAUGCCAUAGGCUAAAUUAAGAUAAAUUAAGUACAUUGCUAAAAUGGAGAGCAUUGCUAAAUUAAGUACUUUAAGAUAAAGACAUAAGCAGCCAGAUCCAUUUGAUGUCAGCUGCUUCAAUAUCCACCUCAAAAUAAAUUAGCCUUUGUUCUAGAUUUAGCUUAAUGCUAAGUCCCUUCACCAUUCUUAGUAAUAAUUCAAUUCUGCCUCAAUUUUCUUCUGAUCUUCAAGGUAAAUGUACGAUAAAUUUCAAAUAUAUCCCAAAUAUAUGAAUUUCUUGAAACCAUCCUUCAAUCUCACUACCUGCUCAACAAAAUGUUCCAUAAACACAAAUAUAUUAAUGAAUUUGGAGUUGAUUCGAAGAAUUGACGAGAACAACAGGGCUCCUUAGAUAAAUAAACAUAUUUAACCUAAUUAUGAAAGUGGAUUAGGAUUUGUAUGGCAUAAUUAUAUCACUUAAAAUGUUAAAGGGUUUAAUUAAAUACCUAUGAUCUCGAGAGCAUUGUGAGAUUUCAUUAGACAUAAUUUAGAUGUAUCGAAAGAUAAUUAAAACACCCUUACGUGAUACGUCUUUGACUUCUUAAGAAAAUAAUUGGAUAAUAAUUCCAAUUCUGAAUCAAAUUUUGAAACUCUAGUCUUUUGCUAAUUGUUUUCUCACCUAUAUCUUAUUUGAUUUGAUUAUUUAUUUAAUUUCUUAAUUAGUGAUUAAAAACCCUCUAAGUUUAAAUUUUGUUAUUUUUAUUAGAGUAAUUAAUGUAGGAAAAAUUAACUCAAUCCUAUAGGUUCGACUCUGGAGUACUCCAAGUGAAUUACUAUUUCGAUCGAUCCUAUACAGUUAUAGAAAUUCAUCGAUCACACAGCAAAAAUGAAAUAAAAUUAAUGCACAAUAAUGUCAUGAGCAGAAACUGGCAGGUUGUCGAAGCCUGUACAAUAAUAAAAUUAAACCUAAUUUCCAGUUAAAAUGACCAAAACCCAAUUCUAAGUACUGGAGUAGGGACUCUAGGUGUGCAAUGGGUUACUUGAUUCACCCUGUUCCCGAAGAGUUUGCUUGAUCCGAUAUACCGGAAUGGAAUGGUUAUUUUUUUUCACAAAUAAUUAUGAAUUUAUAGACAGGGCAAGUAGGGUCGUAUCCUCAGGGAUUGGGUAUAUUUGUUUCUUAAGAAAUCCAAAGUAACACAGGGGGAUGAUUUUGUAGGAACGACGACAAUCAAAUAAAUUCAAAUAAGAAAAUAAAAAUAAAUAACUAACUAUAAAUUAAACCACAAUUCACUGAACUUAGAGUAACAAUAAUUAAAGGCCUAAAUCAAUUAAAACAAGGAAACAAUUAAAAAUAAAAUAAAGUAGGCAACUAAAAGUCAAAUGGCAAUUCACUAAAAUCAAGGUAAUAUUAAUUAAAGAUCUAGCCAAGAAAUAACUUCAGCAAUGGUUCACCUAAUUGAUCAUCGCGAAGCAAAGGCAAUUCCAAUUAUUUAUCAAUAAAUAGGUUAUAACUACCAAACAAGCGAUGGCAGUCAACCCUUCCUUACUGGGUCGGUGAUUAAGGUACGCCCGUUAAUCACUGCUCUAAUUAGGAAAUAAUCCUAGGUACGUCCGUAAGAUUUAAUUCCCCAAUUGCCUUACGUAUUAGAGGAGCCCUAUUCUAACCAAAUAACGCACUACCAGGGUUAUUUCAGAUUAGCCCGAGUAUCCCCCUGACACAAAUCUAAUCGUGCCAGUUGUCACUAAUUUAAGGCAAUUAAAUAAUUACGGAUUUAAUGCCCUAAUUGACAAUAGAUUAUCAAAUCAAUUAAUUAUCCAGAUGCAAGACAAUCAAUUAAUUAAAUAAUCAUAAGCUUAGCAAUCUAGGAAUAUGCGAAUACCAAUAAAUAAAAGGAAAAGAUUAAAUUAAAUCGAUCUCACAAAUUUUUUGUGACCCAAAGCAUCCGUUGUUUCCUGACUAAAAGGGAGGAAUUAGUUCAUGUUUGAUGAAUUAAGUCCACCGGAAGUUGAAACAAGAGCCGCGACCAUUGUCACAAAAAUUGGGAAAUGCAAUUCGCUCCAAUCAAGAAAAGAUAGCAAAGUUACAAGAGGUAGCCCUCUGUUUCAUUUCGGAUGACAUACGAAAAAGCAAAAGCAAUUGCCGAUAGUUCAGAUGAAGAAAAGUCAAGGUUUUUCCAAGUUUGCUCCUGACAUACGUAGAUGAAUCCCACUGUCACAAGCUAAGGAAGAAAAGUCAAAGCUAAAGGAAAAAGGGAAGAACCAUAGUACUAGUUCUCUGCAUUCUCUAUUCUAUCUAAUGUCUAACUCCUCUCUCCUCUGGUGCGGCGGCCAAAAGAAAAGAGGGAGCUCCCUCCGCUGUCUUCGCAGCAAUUUACCAAAAUGGCCAUGAGUUUGUUUCUUUUCCAGAAAUGCCCCCUAGGAUAAUCUCUGUUGCUUGGGCUCCUUUUCUACUAAAUUGAUACUUACUAUCAUAUUUCCGUUCUACUCACUGACAUACAUGCAAAAUAUCAAAAGUGAGCAGAAUCCAGCAAUUAAUUCACAUCAACUCAGAUAAUAAGGGAAAUUAAUAAUAAAAUAAACGAUAAAAUUGCAGCCUAUCAGAAACAGUUCCCAUCUUAGUUGUUCAACAUUCACGGUGGAUUUCAAUUAGUGGUAAAGAGAUAAAGGCAUCGAAAAAUGUAAUCUAAUUACUAGAUAAUUGAAUUUAUACUACAACAUAUUUCUUUUUUCUACCGCAAAAACAUAACUAAUUUAAGACAAUAUAGUCCAAGCUAAUUGAAGAUUAAUUUUCCCUAAAAAAUGUUCAUGAUAAAAACUCAACAAAGAGAUAAUACAAAAACUUACUUUUGGAGGUGAUGUUAUACGGUCUUUUUAACAAACUAAUUAGCCACCUAAGUCUUUUUUUUUUUUGGGACUACACAUGACAAAAUGAGGAGUGAAUCAGUCACUCAGUAUCUAAAAUUUUCCCUCCAUAUAAUUAGUUCAACCUGAUUUAAGACUAAAAUUUUUACCAUAGGAAUAUUCGUGAUUCAACAAUGAAACACCAUAGAAAUUUAAUUUGGGAGAUUGUCCUAGAAGAUAAAAAAUGAGCAACCAAUCAGAAAGUCGUACUCACAUAUCAAAAUCGAGUUAGUCUACUUAAUUCACCAGCUAUGUAUAUUUCAUCCAUUUUCACAUUAUAGAAAGAACAAUAAUGCAUGGCAUUAUCCAUCAUAAAUUGCUCAUAAAACAUCAAGAUAUUCAUGGUGUGGACCUCAAAUGACUCAUCGUGUCUACUGGCUACAUUUUAAACAUAUCUUAUGGCCAGAAUGUUCAUCUUAUCAACUUAACGAGUUUAUUCAUGGUACCAUACCAUUAAAUUAAAAAAGUUUCCACCUUUUACCUUUUAUAGAUGUCAAGGAAUAUAGCUAAUAACACACUUUUGGCAGCAAUCUUCCUUCACCCAAUUAAAGAUUUUCGGAGCUUAAAGUUCAGCUCCUAAAGCUCUUCUCCAAGUCUCACAAACCAACAGAGAAAUUACUUUUAGGAAAGUUGUUAAAUUUUGGCACACUAGGUUUUGAUGGUAUCUUGGUAAGCUUGGAAGAUUAUAUUGUGCUUCUAAGAUAAUGUUUAAAAAAGCUAUUUUAGUGACGGCAUUAUGGUCAAUUUGCCCCUGAUGAUAUUGAUAUUAGGUCCCAUCAACAUCAGAAGGGAGCUCAUUGUAUUAUUGGAUAUAACAAGGGUGGUAGUGAAAUUAUGAAAACCAUCAAGGGAGGUUUUUGAAAUUAACCCUAAAAUAUUCAUCCCACGCAAGGCGUGGUGUUCCCCCUUUGUUCCUAUAAAUAGGGCUGCAACUCCAUGCACUUAUCACUCGAUAGCAAUAAUUUAGCACAUUACUUACAUUUUGAGUGAGCUUGUGAUGAAAUGGCACCUUCAAAAAAUUUGCUCUUUGUUUUUGGUGUUCUCUUUGCACUUGUGCUCCUCAUUUCCUCUGAUGCAACAGCUGCAGGUACCUUUCUUUUUCCUUUCUUCCUUUUUUUUUUUGGCUGCACCUAAAUACUCAAAUGAAUGGAGAAUAGGAGACUCAUUAUUGGGAUGUGAAUUUUUAUGGAAGGCUAUUAGUAUAUUAUCAAGCAAGUCAUAUUAAUGUGCUAAUAUCUUUUCAUUGUUUAGCAAAAGUAAAUCUUGGUUGCUUCCAUCAAUGGUUAGUGGCACAUCUGAUUUUUCAUGCAUCCUUAUAGUAUUGCUGUAAGGAUACACGUUCCAUAGUGUCACACUAAAGGUUAAACUAACGUUGAAAACCAAAUUAAACUGCUUCUAAUUAUAAUUUAUUGAAUAGACUAUUAAAGCAAAAUAAUCCAUGUCCAAGUCGCACCAUCUUAUAUGCCUGGACUGUUUUGUUUAAUCCAUUGUAUUCUUUUCUUUGCAUAUAUCUUGCAAAUUUUCAGCCUAGCCGGUCACCUAACGUUCGCAGCUUAAGAUAAAGCUCCAAAUAUUAAUGUCUCCUUCUGUCUUGAAACAGAUCAGAAGAGCGUGAAAACCACUGGUGUCCACGAUGCCAGUUCAGGUCAGGUUCAUCAGGAUAGCAUAAGCGAAGAUCGUUGCAAAUAUCGUUGCUGCCGCUGGUACCAUGGACAGUGCCAAAAAUGCUGUCGAACUGCUGAGGAGACCCCUGAAGCUACAUCCGGAGAUGAGGAUACCGUAACCGCAGAUCGUUGCAGACAUGGUUGCUGCCGCUGGUACCAUGGAAAUUGCCAAAGAUGUUGUCCACCUGCUGAGGAGACCACUGAAGCUACAUCCGAAAAUGAGGAUACCGUAACUGCAGAUGGUUGCAGACAUGGUUGCUGCCGCUGGUACCAUGGACGCUGCCAGAGAUGCUGUCCAACUGCUGAGGAGACCCCUGAAGCUACAUCCGGAGAUGAGGUCAAAAAUUAAUGCUAAAUAAAUAAGGGUGUGACACAGGAUCCGUGACACCUAUAUUAUUACCUUAAUAUGUUGUGUUUGCCUUUGAUGGUUGAUUUCCUGUAUGUGUAAAAGACUUGUGCCACUUCUCUUUGAAUUGGUGUAGAAUCAACAGGGGAAGCACGUAAUGAGUACUCAGUUCGAGUGCUCUUCUUAUGUUGUUGUCAUGUUGAAUAAAUAAAUCUACUUGAUCAUCUACUACAAUUGAUGAUCUCUAUCUCAGUUACAUCAUAAACUUCUGUACCUUGGACCCGCUAGAAUUUAGUGUGAUUGAUAUAAGACGUGCAGAAUGUUCAAUAUAUGUAUAUAUGUGCUUCUUCAUCGCGCCAUGCCAUUACAAUGUGAAAGAAUUCAGCAUCGACAGAGUGAAACGUUCCCAAUCCUGCUCCUGAGAAAGGAAACAAAGUCCCUCAAAAAUGGAUAUUUUGGAUGCCAUCAAGUUUUGAUUUGAAUGCCAUUUGGAGAUCUGAAUAUUGUUUUUUUUCCUUUAUCUUCGUUCAAGAUUUUUUUGGUGGAAAUGCUUCAUUUAUACGAAUUUUCCUAGUUAGUAAAUGCUUCUAUUACACUUGUACAAUACACACUUAAAAGUAUAACACAAUAAAAGCUUGUGUAGUUCAUAUAUUUCAAAAAUAUUCAUACUUUUCAACUAAACUAUAAAAAUACGUAAUAAAUUCCUGGUACAUUAUACUUUACGAACAAGACUCUAAAUUUUAAAAAUAUUUAAUACUAUCACUUAUCAAUAACUCCACAUGUUAAUUUGUCUCCCAAUUCAAUAAACUAUAGUAGCUAAUUCUCAAAGCUAACCGACACCAAAAUUCCCUCACUUGUUCACCUCCUAGUGGAUUUAUACUAAUUACAUUGCAUUUAUUUUCUAAGCAUGAGUUUUGUAACCCCUCAUAUUAUUAAAUCUCAAUUAAUUGAUUUUAACGGUUACUAAGGCGUCUAGUAAUUGGUUUGCUAUUAAUUUGAACUAGACAUUUAUUAGGUCUAGUAGAAUUUAUUCCUUCUUAUCACUUAGUUCAUAAACCUUAUGAAUCGUUAAAACCAGCUCUAACAUUAGCUAACAAGACUUCUACAAUUUCGGGUUUUGCUUAGAAAUCAGUCUGAUAGUUUAACUUGCUUCGUCCAACUUUAUGAGUUGCUUUUUUUUUCUUCCAUAUUUGACAUUUCAUCUGACUUUAAUAUGGGGACCAAGUUAGUAUUGUUGGCAUUUCAUAUCUAAGACUUCUUAAUUAAUUGAUUUGUUAUAAGAACUAUAACGUAUGCGUGUUUUGUAAGCUUUCAUGUUUUUUUUUUUUUUUUUAAUUCUUGAGGACCAGCAACGGAUUAGUUUCUUCUAGUACCAAGCUUCCUUUGAAGUUCUUUAUUUUCUUUUUUGCGUAAAUUAAAAGAACCAACAACUUUGAACAAGCCUAUAUCUAGUAAAGAUAGAUAUAAAGAGGGAUACUAUAUAUACACAGAUUAUAUAAUUUUUUUUCAAAUGUAUGAUUAAAAGUUUAGUACAAAAAUACGAGUUUAUCAUUAUUAUGGAUAUAAUAUAAAUUCAUAUAUGAAUAGUAUGAAUAAAUCUAAAUGUUAUAGAAUUAGGUAUACAAGUGAAAUUACUAUAAUUUUGAAUGAUUAUGCUAGUUUUAUAUCAAAUUUAAUGCUGAUCCUUGUGUAUAUGACAUCAGAUUUAUUAAAGUUUUAUCACUUUUUUACAUUUAUAUGUAUAAUCCAUCUAAGUUUGUUAUUUGACAAUACCAUUUUAUAUAUAACUCAAAAGGUACGUCAUUAUCUUGUCUCACUUUUUAAAAUUUAAAGUAUAAAUCAUAAAGGAUAAUGCAUCCAAAAAAAGUAUAAUGCAUCAAGAAUUUAUUAUAUAUUUUUAUAGGUUAGGUGAAAAGAAUAAAUAUUCUUGAAAUACACGAACUACAGAACCUCUUUUGUGCUAUACAUAUAAACGCGUAUUCUAGAAGUAUAAUAGAAUUGUUUACUAACUAGGCAAAUUCGUAUAAAUGAAGCAGUUCCACCAAAAAAUCUUGAACAAAGAUAAAGGGUUCAGAUCUCUGAAUGCCAUUCCAUUCAAACUCUUGAUAGCAUCCAAAAUAUCCAUUUGAAGGACUUCAGUUUCUUUCUCAUCAGGAGGGAACGGAAUUGAGUUUGACUCCGUCGAUGCUGAAUUAUUUUACAUUGUAAUGACAUGGUACGAUGAAGAAGCACAUAUAUACAUAUUAUUGAACAUUAUGAACGUCUUAUAUCAAUCACACUAAAUUCUAGUGUUCCCGAGGUACAGAAGUUUAUGAUGUAUAAGGGGUUUCCUCAGAAGUUCGACAGCAUCUGGUGCAUCGUCCAUGGAACCAACGACAGCAACCAAAUCUGCAACAAUCUACGGUUACGGUGUCCUCAUCUCCAAAUUUAUUCUCACGGAUCUCCUCAGCUGUUUGACAGCAUCUCGUGCAAUAGAUGGGGUACCAGCGGCAGCACGAAAUCUGCAACCAGUUAAGUGAUCAAUCUCACCUGAACUGGCAUCCAGUGGUCUUCAUGUUGUCGUGAUCUGUUUCAAGACAUAAAUAUUAGGAGCAUCGUCUUAAAGUCCAAAACGUUAGGUGACUGGCUAGGUUGAAAAUUUGCAAGAUAUAUGCAAAGAAAUGAAUACUAUGGAUUAAACAAAACUGUCUAGGGAUAUGAGAUGGUGCAACUUGGAUAUGAAUUAUUUCGUCUUAUAAGCUACUAAAUAUGACAUUUGGGUUUUGACGUUAGUUUAAUCUUUGUCGUGUUAAACAAUAGUGUGACAUUUUGGAACGUUUAUCCUUGCAGUAAUACUAUAAGGAUGUGAAAAAGAUAUUAGUACUUUAAUAUAACUUCCUUGAUACUAUACAAAUAGCCUAUCAUAAAAAUUCACGUCCCACUAAUGUGUCUCCUAAGCUCCAUUCAUUUAAGUAUUCAGGUUCAUCCAAAUAAAUAAAUAAAGGAAGGAGGAAAAAGAUUAGGUGCAUUCAGUUGUUGCAUUAGAGGAAUUGAGGAGUACAAGUGCAAAGAGAGCACCAAAAAGAAACAGCAAACUUUUUGAAGAUGCCAUUUGAACACAAUCUCACUCAAAAUCUAAAUGAUGUGCUAAAUUUAUUGAUAUCUAGUGACAAUUGCAUUGAGCUAAACAAUAUUUUGUUGAUAUCUAAAUGACCUCAUUUUUUAUGUUGAUGGGACCUAAUGUCAAUAUCGUCAAGGACAAAUUGACUGUAAUACCCUCAUUUAGAAGCAAAAUAUCAUAUUCCAAUUUUACCAACAUGCCAUCGAAACUUGUCACCAAAAUUUAACAACUUUACUAAAACUAAUUUUCUAAGGCUGGUGAGCUUUGGAGAAGAUCUUUAGGUGCUGAACAUUAAGCUCCAAAAUAUUUCAUUGGGUGAAGGAAAAUUGUUGAAAAAAGUGGCUUAUUAGCUUUAUUCUUUGAUAUUUAUAUAUAAUAAUUAAAAGAUGAAAACUUUUUUAAUUGAAUGUGGAUAUUCACAACAAAAUGAGGUACCGAAUGGAAGUUUAUGGUCUUCAUGAUUGAUGUGGUUCCAUGAAUAAACUCGUAGAGCUGAUAAGAUGAACAUUCUGGCCUUAAGAUGAGUUUAAAAUGUUGCCAUGGUAGACAUGAUGAGUCAUUUAAGGACCACAUCAUGAAUAUCUUGAUAUUAUAUGAGCAAUUUGCGAUGGAUAAAGCCAUGCAUGCAUGUGCUUUAUAUAAUGUGAAAAUGGAUGAGGUAGAUAAAGCUUGGUGAAGUAAAGUAAGUAUACCGAAUCGAUUUUGACAUGUGAGUAGGAUUUUCUGCUUGGUUGCUCUAUUUUAAGUGAUUAUCACUAUGUUGACAAAGAUCUUGUCGGACAAUCUCCCAAAAUAAGUUUCUAUCGUUUUUUUUUACUGAAUCACGAACAUUUCUUUAGUGAAAAUUUCAAUCUUAAAUUAGGUUGGACAAAUUAUUUGGAGGGAACAUUUUAGAUAGUAAGUGACUCAUUCACUCCUCAUUUUUGCAUAUAUAGUUGAAAGAAAAACAUAAGUUUAAGCGACUAAUUACUUUGUAAAUAAAGAUCGUAUAAGAUCACUUCCAAAAGUAAGUUUCUAUACCAUAUCUUUGUUGAGUCUUAUCAAGAAAAUUUUGGAGGGAAAAUUAAUCUUCAAUUAGCUUGGACUACAUUAGGCUACUACUUGGUUGAUUGUCAAUUUUAUCAUUUUUAUUGUUAUUAAAAAAUCCAUAAUGUGAACACAAAAGUAAACGAGGAUAUCACAAAAAUUGAUUAUCUAUAAUCAAAAUCUCUAAAUAAUUAAAAUAGUCAAUCAAAAACAAGCAUGUUGUAGUAUAAAAUUUUUUAGGUAGACUACUUUGUCUGUACCUUUAUAUGUUGACUACUAAUUGAAAGCUACCAUGAAUUUUGGAUAAAUAGGACGGACCUGAUUCUACUCAUGGCAUUAUUGUGUAUUCAAAAUUAUUUUUUCCUUUUAGCUGCUGUGCUUCAUGCCAUUUGGAAUAGUUCACUCCUUAUUUUAUAUUUUUUUCUUUUUUUCUUUUUUGGAAAUAGCCCUUUUUACAACAUAAAUAUGUUACAAUAUUUCUUUUAGGGCCUAUAAAGGUAAAUAUGGAACAAAAUGUGCUGACACCAUUUCUUGUCAAUCUAUUGCAUUUCUUUUACGGACAUGGGCUAACUUGGUUACAAAACUAGUUAUAAGUAAGAGUGAUCAGCGUAAUAUCGAAAACAAGAGGGGCACUAGGUGAAAUUGUCCAAACAUUCAGGGGAAGUUUGUGAAAUUAUCCCAAUAGUUUGAGUACCUGCCCUGUUACUUGCAUUAGAGUGACCCUUUAUUAUUGACUAAUGCAGACGUCCAUGUCUGCAGUCUCAGGACGGAGGAAUAAAGUAUUUAUUGUCCUUGUACGAGUUAUAUAUAGUCUUUCUUGACUGCAAAAGUUGAUAAUUGAGCUAAAGAAUCGAAAGAUAAUGUGGCCAUUUUUCAAUCUCUGGAUAGGAUUAUAGUCUUUCAUGAUUUCUAAAGUGGAUAGUUGAGCUAAAGAAUAAUAAGAUAAUGUGGCCAUUUUUCAAUCUCUGAUAGGAAGGAUAUCAAUCUCCUCCUUUUCCGUCUUCAUGUCUGGAUUGUAUAUCAAUUUCUUUUUCUUUUUCGUUUGUUGGUUAGGUAAACUUUCAUUUUCAUCAGUCUAAAGGCCUAAAGGUCCCUGCCCAUUUCAGAAAUUUACCGAUUUUAAGUGGGCGUAAUAGAGCUUUAAUUAACUCUAUCAAGAUCUUUAUACAUUACGAGCAACUUUCCUGUUAAAAUACUAAUUCAAACAAGCUGUGCAAAUUCAAGGAUGGAACUAGAUUUUGAAAAGGAAUACUUUACACUUCAUAAGAAGUACUGAAUUCGUGGAUUAAUUUUCUUGUGCUAUUGCUUUAAAGAUUUAUUUACAUGAGUAGAUUUGAAUGCGCGAUAAGUAAUUGUGAUUCAAACUUGAAGUCAUAUUUUUGCACAUGAAAGAAAUAGUCCAAAAUAUUUUUUUUUCCUUUUUAGAACUCUACAUGUAGCUUUAACUUGACUAGUCCUAUAACUAGUCAUUGAUGAGUAUGAGGUAUGCAUAUAAUAAUUAAGCCCAUUUCAUAGUUAAAUUUUAUAUUUUUAAAUUUUUAAAUAUCCCACACGUGAUUUUCUGCAAGUAUACAGGUUAAGAUUGAGCAUAGGGUAUUAAGGGUCAAACCCACAGGGAAGAUUGUCAAUGACCGAUGAUUUUCAAACUCAUUUAUUAUUUAAACUAUCACAAGUGCAAGAAAUUAAAUCUACACAAUAAACAUGAGAUAAAAGUAAUAAAAAUAAAAAUAAAAACUUCUAAAAUUACGGAAUUCCUAACUACUUUUGCAAGUGAAGUUACCGAUUAAGUGAAUGUUAUUAUCUUGCCUAAUUAUGACAUAAUUUCCUAAUAUAUGUGAAACAUACUCUCACAAUAAAUUAACUAUACUUGUAAUUAAGCCAUAUCUUCUCAUUCAAACAAGCUGUGCAAAUUCGAGGAUGAAACUAGAUUUUGAAAAGGAAUACUUUAUACUUCUUAAGAAGUACGGAGGUCAGGGAUUAUUUUUCUUGUGCUAUUGAUUUAAAGAUUUAUUUAAAUUAGUAGAUUUGGAUGCGUGAUAAGUAAUUGUGAUUCAAACUUGAAACCAUAUAUUUUGCACAUGAAAGGAAUAGUCCAAAAAUUUUUUUCCCCUUUUAGAACUCUACAUGUAGCUUUAACUUGACUAGUCCUAUAUCUAGUCAUGGUUAAGAAGUUUCAGAAUAUUGGUGAGGUUAUGCAUGAUAAAUUCUGUAUUUAUCCAUUGCUUUGUUAAGCCAAUCUCUAGACAGGUUUGUACUUAUUAAUUCCUUUCGCCAUCUAAACUCAAAGAUAGAACGUAUUAAUAUGUGUCAAUACCAGAAACCAGAAAAACUCGACCACUAGCUUAUCGAACUGAAUUUAGGUCAUUAAUUUUUUUAUGCCCAUCAACUUAAGAAAAGCAACAUAUCAUGCAGAUUAAUAAGUGCAGUUCACUCCAUAGGGUAAAAUAUAAUGUGAAUAGAAUUAAAUCUCUAAAUGUAUAUCCAAGAUAAAAACGCAUAUGGUUGAAACGAUUUGUACUAAAUUUGUUUGAAAUUGCAGGGCUAUAAGUCGAAAAUGUUGAGUGCAUGAAAAGCGUGGAAGACUAUGUACUAACUUGACAAAGUGACUUAAAUUUGAAUAAUUAUGACAACAUUUUAUAAUUUUUGUGGGUCAAAUUUUGUUUUAAUCUCUUACAGUAACAAGCUUGCUUUCAUUUUUUUUUUUUUUUUUUGCUUGUUUGGAUCAUGGCCAGUCCAUAAAUACAAUAAAAACCCACCAACCUUUACUCAUAUAUAUAUAUAUAUAUAUAUGUAUGUAUGUAUAUGUAUAUGUAUAUAAAAGCACUUCCACCUCAAAAUUUACAAAAAAGGGAAGAAAGAAGAAACCCUACUCGUUCUCUUCCGGUGCUAUACGUUUAUCAGAAUAAAGGUCGAAUCUUGCAAAAUAUCAUUCUUGAAAGCAUUCAUUGUUCAUACUUUUGUCUUACGUCAAAGUUAGACAUCUUGCAAUUCAUAAAUUUUCAUGCUUGACAACUCUUUUAGAUAAGAUUGAUGUUCCUCUGAAUAUCAACAUUUAAUUUUUUUUUUUUUAGUAAGUUGUACCGUCGAUACCGAAGAACUUUGAUUCCUUUCUCAGGAAGGAAUAGGAUUGGGUUUAACUCUUGUCGAUACUGAAUUUUUUUACAUUGUAAUCACAAGGAAUGAUGAAGAGCGCGCGCACACAUAUAUUGAAUAUUCUGCACAUCUGAUAUCAAACACACUAAAUUCUAGCAGGUCCAAGGUACAGAAGUUUACGAUGUAACUGAGAUAGAGAUCAUCAAUUGUGAUGAUGAUCAAGUGGAUUUAUUUAUUCAACAUGACAACAACAUAAGAAGAGCACUCGAACUGAGUACUCAUUACAUGCUUCCCCUGUUUAUUCUACACCAGUUCAAAGAGAAGUCUUUUACACAUAGAGGAAAUCAACCAUCAAAAGCAAACACAACAUUACAUAUUAAGGUAAUAAUAUAGGCGUCACGGAUCCUGUGUCACACCCUUAUUUAUUUAGCAUUAAUUUUUGACCUCAUCUCCAGAUGUAGCUUCAGGGGUCUCCUCAGCGGUUGCGCAGCAUCUUUGGCAUUGUCCAUGGUACCAUCUGCAGCAACGAUAUCUGCAACGAUCUGCAGAUAUAGCUUCAGGGGUCUCCUCAGCGGAUGCACAGCAUCUUUGGCAUUGUCCAUGGUACCAGCUGCAGCAACGAUAUCUGCAACGAUCUGCAGAUAUAGCUUCAGGGGUCUCCUCCGCGGAUGCACAGCAUCUUUGGCAUUGUCCAUGGUACCAGCUGCAGCAACGAUAUCUGCAACGAUCUGCAUUUACGGUAGCCUUAUCUCCAGAUGUAGCUUCAGGGGUCUCCUCCGCGGAUGCACAGCAUCUUUGGCAUUGUCCAUGGUACCAGCUGCAGCAACGAUAUCUGCAACGAUCUGCAUUUACGGCAGCCUUAUCUCCAGAUGUAGCUUCAGGGGUCUCCUCAGGAGAUGCACAGCAUCUUUGGCAUUGUCCAUGGUACCAGCUGCAGCAACGAUAUCUGCAACGAUCUUCACUUAUCUUAUCCUGAUGAGCCUCACCAGUGGUCUUCACGCUCGCCUGAUCUGUUUCGAUACACAAGGAGACAAAAAUAUUAGGAGCUUCAUCUUAAGCUGCAAAGAGUUGAGUGACCUGCUGGGCUGAAGAUUUGCAAGAUACAUGCAAAGAAAAGAAUAUUAUGGAUUAAACAAAAUAGUCUACUUAUAAAAGAUGGUGCGACUUGGAUAUGAAUUAUUUUGCCUUAUAGUCCACUCAAUAAAUUAGAAUUAGUAUUAAUUAAUUUGGUUUUCGACUUUACUUUAAUCUUUAUCGUGAUAAACAAUAGUGUGAUAUAAUGUAACGUGUGUGCCUGGAGUUAUACUAUAAGGAUGAAAAAUCAGCUGUUCCACUUACCGUUGAUACAAACAACCAAAAUUUACUUUUAUUAAACAAUGAAAUAGAUAUUAGGAAACUAAUAUAACUUCCUUGAUACGAUACAAAUAGCCUACCAUAAAAAUUCACGUCCCAAUAAUGAAUCUCCUAAUCACCAUUCACUUGAGUAUUUAGGUGUAGCAAAAGAAAAAUCGUAAGAGAUAAGUAAAAAAAAGAAAGACUAGGUACCUGCAGCUGUAACAUCAGAGGGGAUUUGGAGUGCAAGUGCAAAGAGAACAACAAAAAAAAGAGCAAAUUUUUUGAAGAUGCCAUUUGAUCACAAUCUCACUCAGAAUGCAAAUGACGUGUUAUAUUUGUUGAUAUCUAGCGAUAUGUGCAUUGAGUUGCAUCCCUAUUUAUAAGAACUAGGAGGGGAAUACUGUACCUUGUGUGGUGGAAAUAUUUUAGGGAUAAUUUCAGAAACCCCUUUAAGGUCUUUAAUAAUUUUAAUUAGCAGCCUCUUAUUUCCAAUAAUAUAUGGGGUAAUUUUAGAGACCUCCCUUGAGGUUUGUAAUGAUUGCACCUACCUCCCUUGAGGCUUGAAAAAUUAUAAAAUCUCCCCUAUAAAGUAUGUUUUGGUAACAAAUGGUGAUGCAAGUAUAAAAAGUCUAAUGAACAUCCUAUAUUGCCCCUAUUUAAUUUACAAAACAAGUUAAAUGCCAAAAAUAUCAAAUAUUAGUGUUUCUUACUAAGUAAAAAGUUUUAAGAUAGUUCUUUGCAAAAAAAAAAAAACAUUUAGGCUAUAUUUCAAAGAUUCCUUUUUUAAUAUUUGGACAUCUAUUUUCUUUGCUAAGUAAGUUGUGAAGAAACUAUUUUUAACAAAUGCAUUCCUACUAGUCAGCUUUUUAUAAAACUAAGUAAGAAUUCCAUUUAAAUGACCUAAAAGUUGAAUAUAAUGUAUUAGGAGAGAUGAGAUUAAAACUUUUGGAUAAAGAAAUAUUUGAAAAAUGUGAUUUCCUUUUUUUUUAUACUCACUUUUCACUUAGGAUUUGUAGAGUUAUCAAAGAUAUUAUAAUCUUUUUAUAACACCAAGGAAAGUAAGUGUAAUUUUUUAAAUUUCAAGGGAGGUAGCAGCAAUUGUUAGAAACCUCAAGGGAGGUUUAUGAAAUUAUCACAUAAUAUAUUGACCUCCCUUCUCAUGUUGAUGGACCUACUGUCAAUAUCAUCAAGGAAAAAUUGACCAUAAUGGUCUCACUAAAAUGGCUUUUUAAACAUUAUCUUAGAAGCAAAAUAUCAUCUACCAACAAGCGACAUGCCAUCAAAACUUGGUGCCAAAUUUUAACAACUUUACUAAAAUUAAUUUCUCUGCUGGUUGGUGAGCCUUGGAGAAGAGCUUUAGGACCGGAACCUUAAGCUCCAAAAGUAUCUCAUUGGGUGAAGGAAGGUUGCUGCAAAAAGUGUGUUAUUAGCUAUAUUCCUUGACAUCAAUAAAAGGUAAAAGAUCGAUGGAAACUUUUUUAAUUGGAUGUCGAUAUUCACAACAAAAAUGAUGUACCGAUGGAAGUUUAUGGUCUUCAUGAUUGAUAUGCUACCCUGAAUAAACUAGUUGAGUUGAUAAGAUUGAUAUGCUACGAUGAAUAAACUAGUUGCGUUUAUAAGAUGGACAUUCUGGUCUUAAGAUAAUGUUUGAGAUAUAGCCAAUGGACAUGAUGAGUCAUUUAAGGUCACAUCAAGAAUAUCUCGAUCUUAUAUGAGAAAUUUAUGAUGGACAAUGCCGUGCAUGCUGGUUCUUUAUAUAGUGUGAAAAUGGAUGAAGUAUACAUAGUUUGGUGAACUAAGUAGGCCGAAUCGAUUUUGAUACAUGAGUAGGACUUUCUGAUUGGUUGCUCAUUUUUUCAUAUGUAGUUUGAAAAAAUUAUUUUGACUGAUUACUUCGUCGAUAAAGAUAUAGUAGGACAAUCUCCCAAAAUAAGUUUCUAUGGCGUUUCUUUGUUGAAUCAGAGAAUUUCUAUGGUGAAAAUUUUAAUCUUAAAGUAGGUUGAACUAAUUAUUUGGGGGGAAAAUUUUAGAUAGUAAGUGACUGACUCACUCCUCAUAGUCGAAAAAAGAUAAGUUUACGUGGCUAAUUACUUUGCUAAUAAAGACCAUUUAUACUACUUUAUCUGGUCUUGGGAGUUCUGUUCAAUAAAUUGGAAUUAUUAUAAAUAAGAAUAAGCUAGCUCUAGCAAGAACUAAAUCAUUAAAGUACUUUCCCUAGGGGCUUUGGGCGGAAGGGGGAACGUAGCGAUUUGAGACUGAUCUUGAGCCUAGGUUGAGGAUGGAACUCCUAUAGUAUAGCAAUUGAUGUGAAACAAAGGCUACAGCUGGAUACGAUCACCUCCAAAAGUAAGUUUCUGUACCAUCUCUUUGUUGAGUUCUUAUGAUGAACAUUUUUGAGGGAAAAUUAAUCUUCAAUUAGCUUGGGUAACAUUAUCGUGAGUGAGUUAGGUUUCUACAGUAGAAAAAGAAACAUGUUGAUAGUAUAAACUUAUUUAGUUAGAUUACUUUGUCUAUGCCUUUAUAUGUUGACCACCAAUUCAAAUUUACCAUGAAUGUGGAUGAGAACUAUUUCAGCUCAUGGCAUUAUUGUGCAUUAUUUUUUUUUAGCUGCAGUGCAUAUUUCACUGCUCUACAAAAUUGCUUCCAGUUACGAAGAUUUUAGUGACAAUGGUCUCUUCAUUUUGUUCAUUCACCAAGACUUUUACGCUAUUUUCGUUCCAAAGCAACAGCACAGUUAGCAAUGGUUACGUGAUUCUAACUGUCAAAGACUUAAAAAGGGCUCUGUUGUGCUUUUGCCUCCAACCACAUAAAAAUUAAACCACUUCUUCUUCUUCUUUUCACUGCCCUUUUUCCAACUUAAAUAUGUUACAAUAUUUCUUUUAGGGCCUAUACCAAUAAGUGUAUAUGUGGAAUAAAAUGUGAUGAUAUACGUUUCUUUUACUGACAUGGGCUGAAUUUGUUACAAAACUAGUUAAAGAGUGGUCAGCCUAACACUGAAAAUAAGAGGGGUACUAGGUGAAGUUGUCCAAAACUUCAGGGAGGUUUAUGAAAUUAUUCCAAUUGUUUAGGUGGCUGAGGCUGUUACUUGUACAAGAGUGACACUCCUUCUCAUAUUCGUCAGAAUAUUCGUCAGAAUUCCCCACUUCAUUCGUCAUGUAGUCCUCCAUAUGUCUCGAAGUCUCCGGAUUUAUUGUCCUUAUACAAAAGUUACAGUCUUUCUUGACUAUGAAAGUUGACGAUUGAGCUAAUCAUAAUUAAGAAAUGUGGCAAUUUUUCUAACUCUGGAUACUGGAUAGGAUAUCAAUCUCCUUUUUGCUGGAUGGCUUCCAUUUUCAUCUGUCUAUAGGUCAGUCUCCACUUCCCACGUUCAAUGAUUUUGAUUAAGUUGCUGUCAUAGAGCUUUCUUAUCUCUAUCGAGAUUAAUGUAUAUCAUGAGCAGUCCAUUCAAAUCUGUUGUGCGAGUUAGGGGAUGGAACGAAAAGCUAAAAAGCAGUCCAUUCAAACUUGAAAUCAUAUUUUUGAACAUGAAAGAAGCAGUUGCGACAAGUCUUUUUUUAAAUUUGUUUUUAGAAUUCUUUGCACUCAAGAAUUAUCACAAUCAGAGGCAUUGUCAAGUUAAACUUCAAUGGUCUAACUAGGCUACCUACAAAUUAUGUUGUUAAGUUUAGAAAUGGGGCCCUUGGUUGAUUUUUUCAGAUCUUAUCUAGUUCAGUGUCCUGUAGGGAAAUUUUGAAUGGGUGAGAAGAUCAUGUAAUCUUGGAAUUAUUUAGCUCGGCACAUUGUUUAGUUCCCGCGGCACAUUGUUUAGCUUGGCAAUCUGGGAAUUAUUCAUCUCCUCAGUUUUGGAGGCAUUUCCCUCAAUGUGUUUUGCCCAGCCUUUAUGGUUGAUUUAAAUCAUGAAUCAAUGAAAUUUUAUGUCUUAUAAAAAUAUAUAUAUAUAUAUUUAUGAAUCUUGUGGCAAAGUUUAUAUUUUACAUUGUUUGUAUUCGUAAUUCUUACUAUAUUUGGUGUAAAAUUAUAUAAUUUGAGUGUAAAAUGAAAUUUGUCAGCUUAUAACUAAAUUGGUGUAAAAUUGACGAUGACACUAAAACUAUACAAGUUUACACUAAAUUUAGUAAAAAUUCUAUAAACUAAUUUAAAUUAGACAGUACCGGAUCCCACAUCAUCCGCUAGCUCAUGUUCCUUGAGUACAUGGUCAUGGAUUGUGGGAACGCAACAAUGGCAGAGGCGAAUGUCCUGUUGGGAUUGUAAUGUGGAAGGAAUUCUAUAAACAGUCAAGGGGUAUUUGAUUAUAAAAAGGAAAAAAUUUACAAAUCAAUACAGUGAUAAUAAUAUGUAUGAUUAAUUUAACUUCUUUAAACUUUAAGUUGAAAAGACUGUAAAGAUUUUGUGCAUCAUGCGUGCUACAGGCUUUCAAAAAAAGAAAAGAGAACUCACUAAAUUGGAGUCUUUAAGACACAGAAAAAAUCAUAGCAAUGAACAGCUUGUCAUUUUUAAAGAAUUACCAUUUUGAAAUCAUAAUUUACGUUCAUAUAUAUAUAUAUGCUUAAUUUGUCACAGGCUACAAGAAUUUGUAAAUGCACCAUCAAUAUACUUAUCUAUGAGUGCAUUUAAUAGACUAAUGUAAAAGUAUGUUCUCUCAUCCAAUGGAACAUUUUCAAUCUUCACCAGCCUCUGCAGCUUUUCAUGUAUAUGGUCCUGCAAUCCUCUGCUGAAGUUUUACUUUCAGAACCCUGGAAAGAUCUACCUUCCUUACCUUCUUGAAGGUAAAAAGAGAAAAACAAAAAACAAAAGAAAAAAGAAAAUAAAUAAAAAUUCUUCUACUCCAAUGAUUCUUGUACUUAGUAACCGGGAGUCUUCAUCUACAAAUGCCGACUUUCGCGUAAAACGCUACUUGAAUUAAGAGUAUGCAAAGCAACUUGAGUAUGUGAAGUGUUGAGUAACCGGUGAUCUUCAUCUAAAAAUGUCGAUCCUCGCGUCAAAAGGCAUUCUCACGUCUUAAGUAAUAUUUAGAUAUGUAAUAUUAAUAAAUAUCUUUUUAAACAGAAUUAAAAGAUGAUCAUGAGUUUAGGAAGCAUUAUUAUUGACCAUAUGAGUUACUUACUUGUAAGAUUGGGUAAGGAUGAAAAAUUGAUUUGAAUUUGUUAUAAUAACGGUAUAAUUGGCUCUCCUUUACUUGAUAUUAUGAGUACUUGAACUUAAUUGAAUAAUUGCAUAAUGGUUAUUUACUUUGUUUUGAGGAAAUGAAGUUGAAAUGCUACAUAUGUUUAUUUUCAAAUUUUGGAUCAUUGUUGGUUUGUAUUUUUAUUGCUUGAGGACAAGCAAUGAUUCAAGUGUGGGGGUAUUUGAUAAGAGUUUAUUUUACGUAUUUUUUAGUGUGUUUUAUUAGUUAAUUUUGGUUUGAUUAUUUAGUUUUAUAACUAAAAUAACUAAGGUUUUGGUAAAAAACUACAUUUUAUGUUAAAGUGGCUAAAUAUUGCAUUUUAUGGAUUUUUAUGGGAAAAACUUCAUAUUUUGUAGGUUUAAUGAUUCAAUCAUCAAAUGAAGUGCAUUGAGAAGAUAUUUGGAUGAUUGAAGAUGGAUUAAAGUGAGGAAAAUAAAAAAUGAAGUGUAAAAGGAAGAAAUGCAAUUUGAGGACAAAAAUCAAGAAAAGUCAGCUUUCACAACUCAGACACAUUUUCGUAUUUUGACUAUAUCAGGAGCUACAAUGAUCGGAUCAAGGUGAUCUUGGUACCAUUUUGAAGCUAAGAGAUAUAUCUACAUUUGGUAUGAAGACAUCAAAGUCCAAUUCAGCCGUUUUCUUGGUCAAAAGGUCGAAACACAGAAACUUAUCUGGAUGGUCGAAAGCUGAAGCCCAGAAUUGACCAGUCUAUAGUAUUUUGACCAUAUCUCAGUCCACCGAUCUCCAAAUUAGAUGAUUCUUGAAGCAUUGGAACUCUAAUUCAAAGGGCUACAACUUUUGUGUUUUGCACAAAAGCCAGUUCGGCCUUCAUCAUGGAGAAAAAUGCAGUUGAAGUGAGGUCAAAAGUAAAAACGUGUAUGGCAGCCGAAUUUCUGUAAUUUGCUCAGACAUUUUUCUCAUCUUCACACUACUUUCCAGCUAGAGUUGGAGAGAAAACGUAGGCUGCACAUGCUUCAGAAGACAUAAGGAAGAGAUAUAGCCAAGGUUCCAAGUCAAAAGCCAUUAUUUUUUACUCCCUUAACAAAUCCAGAUUUGGAGAAUCAAAGUGGAGAGUCAUAGCAGAAAUUUAUGACUGGUAAGGGAAGGACUUUUCAUCAGCUUAUAUGUAGAGACAUUUGAGGUCUAUGAGGAGAGAGGAAUCAUACGGGAGAAGCUUGAAGAGUGCAGAAAUGUAGUUCUUCCAUUUCCUUAGUGUAGGAUAGUGUAGUAAGUGUAGUUCAUCCAUUCUUGUAUACUAUCUAGAUUAGGAUGAAAAUGGAGAUGAAGAAAGAGAAGUUGAAGCUCAAGUGACAUGGGUUAUCUCUUCUCCAACUCUUUAUCUUUUGUAUUGGAUUCUUAAAUAUAGUUAAUAUACAAGUUCUGGAAUUUAUGUUAUUUAUGUGUCUUUAAAGUUUAUACCUUGGGUUUGGUUGAACUUCCUAUGAUUGUUAGUGUUUAUUAUUUGGCUAUUUGAUUGCUAGUAUUUGAGCAAGUUAUUUAGCACUUUGGCUCUUGAAAUCAUGAUUAAUCUGGUACCAUUAAUUCUGAUUAUCUAAGGUGUUAUUUCUGCAAUGAAAAUUGAGAUUUAACAUUAGUUCAAGAAGUGCUAAACAUAGGGAGUACACUCACGAAAGUAGAGGUGUACCUAUGUGGUUUUUAGUGAUUCAUUUCAUGUAAUUUCACUGAAGAAAUGAACUUGUAGCUAAUUUCAUAACCAUGAGAAUAGGUAUGGAUCAGUUAUAAGUAUAAUUGAUUCACUGCGAAAGUAGGAUUCAAAUGCAUAAGGAAAUUACACCAUAAUUAGCCUAGAUGUAGUAUUCAAUGAUCCAAAUAUAAUACUUGCAUGAGUAGUUAGGGAUACCACAACCUAAGGAGCUUUUAUUUGUUAAUUUCUUGUAUAAGUGCAGUAGGUUAAAUUUCUUAUCAUUAAUUGAUAGUCUAAAUAAUAGAGAAACUUUAGUAAUACCGGUAAUUGUUCACUCUUCCUUGUGGGAUCGACCCGAUAUAUACCCUAAACUACUAGUUGAUCUGUAUACUUGCAGUGAACGGGUGUAAUUCGGUAUUUUUUAGCUUGCACGUAUGUAAAAUACCCGUCACCUAUCUCAGUAGCAACUGGCGUAAUUGGGUUUAUGACAGGGGAACAUACGAUCUAAUUUAAACAAACCCUCGUAGCGUGUUUGUUAGUUAGGAUUGGGCCUUUCUAAUUAUUAAUGCAAAUCUAGAAAUUAAAUCCUACGGUCGUACCUAGGGUUGUUUCCUGGUUAGAGAAAUAGUCAACGGUCGUACCUUGGCUAUCGACAAAUUAAGGAAGGGUUGGUUGUUUAUCGCGUGCAUGACAACUAUAACUAAUCUAUUAAUAAAUGUGGAAUUAUCUGUGAAUCAAUGAUCAGUGCCUGAACCAUAUCUGAAGUGUAUCCUUGGCUAGAGUUUCUCCAAUAAUUAUUCCUUUUAUUUAUUUUCUGCAUUUAAUUUAUUUAGUUAGCAUUUAAUCCAAAACCCCCACAUACCUUGGACUCUAGAAGAAACGAAUUAUCCCCAGUCCCUGUGGAUUCGACCCUACUCACCGCUAUAUACAAAAUCUGUAUUUUUCUCGAGUAGGUACUUAUUAUUGCACAGGUUCGGCACCUGUCACCUUGGUUGACAAUUUGUUUCCCUGAGCAUCCAUCAACACUUUUAUAUAGUAUUAGAUUAGAUUAGAUUGUCAAUGCACCAUCAAUAUCCUUAAAUAUAAUAGCUUAAGUAUAGUAAUCAAAAUACUGUUAGUAAUCUGUAUGAUUAUUUUUGAUCCUUUAAUGUUUUAGUUUUAGGAAGAUCACAAAUGCUGCGUAUAAAGCAUGCCAUAGGCUAAAUUAAGAUAAAUUAAGUACAUUGCUAAAAUGGAGAGCAUUGCUAAAUUAAGUACUUUAAGAUAAAGACAUAAGCAGCCAGAUCCAUUUGAUGUCAGCUGCUUCAAUAUCCACCUCAAAAUAAAUUAGCCUUUGUUCUAGAUUUAGCUUAAUGCUAAGUCCCUUCACCAUUCUUAGUAAUAAUUCAAUUCUGCCUCAAUUUUCUUCUGAUCUUCAAGGUAAAUGUACGAUAAAUUUCAAAAUAUAUCCCAAAUAUAUGAAUUUCUUGAAACCAUCCUUCAAUCUCACUACCUGCUCAACAAAAUGUUCCAUAAACACAAAUAUAUUAAUGAAUUUGGAGUUGAUUCGAAGAAUUGACGAGAACAACAGGGCUCCUUAGAUAAAUAAACAUAUUUAACCUAAUUAUGAAAGUGGAUUAGGAUUUGUAUGGCAUAAUUAUAUCACUUAAAAUGUUAAAGGGUUUAAUUAAAUACCUAUGAUCUCGAGAGCAUUGUGAGAUUUCAUUAGACAUAAUUUAGAUGUAUCGAAAGAUAAUUAAAACACCCUUACGUGAUACGUCUUUGACUUCUUAAGAAAAUAAUUGGAUAAUAAUUCCAAUUCUGAAUCAAAUUUUGAAACUCUAGUCUUUUGCUAAUUGUUUUCUCACCUAUAUCUUAUUUGAUUUGAUUAUUUAUUUAAUUUCUUAAUUAGUGAUUAAAAACCCUCUAAGUUUAAAUUUUGUUAUUUUUAUUAGAGUAAUUAAUGUAGGAAAAAUUAACUCAAUCCUAUAGGUUCGACUCUGGAGUACUCCAAGUGAAUUACUAUUUCGAUCGAUCCUAUACAGUUAUAGAAAUUCAUCGAUCACACAGCAAAAAUGAAAUAAAAUUAAUGCACAAUAAUGUCAUGAGCAGAAACUGGCAGGUUGUCGAAGCCUGUACAAUAAUAAAAUUAAACCUAAUUUCCAGUUAAAAUGACCAAAACCCAAUUCUAAGUACUGGAGUAGGGACUCUAGGUGUGCAAUGGGUUACUUGAUUCACCCUGUUCCCGAAGAGUUUGCUUGAUCCGAUAUACCGGAAUGGAAUGGUUAUUUUUUUUCACAAAUAAUUAUGAAUUUAUAGACAGGGCAAGUAGGGUCGUAUCCUCAGGGAUUGGGUAUAUUUGUUUCUUAAGAAAUCCAAAGUAACACAGGGGGAUGAUUUUGUAGGAACGACGACAAUCAAAUAAAUUCAAAUAAGAAAAUAAAAAUAAAUAACUAACUAUAAAUUAAACCACAAUUCACUGAACUUAGAGUAACAAUAAUUAAAGGCCUAAAUCAAUUAAAACAAGGAAACAAUUAAAAAUAAAAUAAAGUAGGCAACUAAAAGUCAAAUGGCAAUUCACUAAAAUCAAGGUAAUAUUAAUUAAAGAUCUAGCCAAGAAAUAACUUCAGCAAUGGUUCACCUAAUUGAUCAUCGAAGCAAAGGCAAUUCCAAUUAUUUAUCAAUAAAUAGGUUAUAACUACCAAACAAGCGAUGGCAGUCAACCCUUCCUUACUGGGUCGGUGAUUAAGGUACGCCCGUUAAUCACUGCUCUAAUUAGGAAAUAAUCCUAGGUACGUCCGUAAGAUUUAAUUCCCCAAUUGCCUUACGUAUUAGAGGAGCCCUAUUCUAACCAAAUAACGCACUACCAGGGUUAUUUCAGAUUAGCCCGAGUAUCCCCCUGACACAAAUCUAAUCGUGCCAGUUGUCACUAAUUUAAGGCAAUUAAAUAAUUACGGAUUUAAUGCCCUAAUUGACAAUAGAUUAUCAAAUCAAUUAAUUAUCCAGAUGCAAGACAAUCAAUUAAUUAAAUAAUCAUAAGCUUAGCAAUCUAGGAAUAUGCGAAUACCAAUAAAUAAAAGGAAAAGAUUAAAUUAAAUCGAUCUCACAAAUUUUUUGUGACCCAAAGCAUCCGUUGUUUCCUGACUAAAAGGGAGGAAUUAGUUCAUGUUUGAUGAAUUAAGUCCACCGGAAGUUGAAACAAGAGCCGCGACCAUUGUCACAAAAAUUGGGAAAUGCAAUUCGCUCCAAUCAAGAAAAGAUAGCAAAGUUACAAGAGGUAGCCCUCUGUUUCAUUUCGGAUGACAUACGAAAAAGCAAAAGCAAUUGCCGAUAGUUCAGAUGAAGAAAAGUCAAGGUUUUUCCAAGUUUGCUCCUGACAUACGUAGAUGAAUCCCACUGUCACAAGCUAAGGAAGAAAAGUCAAAGCUAAAGGAAAAAGGGAAGAACCAUAGUACUAGUUCUCUGCAUUCUCUAUUCUAUCUAAUGUCUAACUCCUCUCUCCCUCUGGUGCGGCGGCCAAAAGAAAAGAGGGAGCUCCCUCCGCUGUCUUCGCAGCAAUUUACCAAAAUGGCCAUGAGUUUGUUUCUUUUCCAGAAAUGCCCCCUAGGAUAAUCUCUGUUGCUUGGGCUCCUUUUCUACUAAAUUGAUACUUACUAUCAUAUUUCCGUUCUACUCACUGACAUACAUGCAAAAUAUCAAAAGUGAGCAGAAUCCAGCAAUUAAUUCACAUCAACUCAGAUAAUAAGGGAAAUUAAUAAUAAAAUAAACGAUAAAAUUGCAGCCUAUCAGAAACAGUUCCCAUCUUAGUUGUUCAACAUUCACGGUGGAUUUCAAUUAGUGGUAAAGAGAUAAAGGCAUCGAAAAAUGUAAUCUAAUUACUAGAUAAUUGAAUUUAUACUACAACAUAUUUCUUUUUUCUACCGCAAAAACAUAACUAAUUUAAGACAAUAUAGUCCAAGCUAAUUGAAGAUUAAUUUUCCCUAAAAAAUGUUCAUGAUAAAAACUCAACAAAGAGAUAAUACAAAAACUUACUUUUGGAGGUGAUGUUAUACGGUCUUUUUAACAAACUAAUUAGCCACCUAAGUCUUUUUUUUUUUUGGGACUACACAUGACAAAAUGAGGAGUGAAUCAGUCACUCAGUAUCUAAAAUUUUCCCUCCAUAUAAUUAGUUCAACCUGAUUUAAGACUAAAAUUUUUACCAUAGGAAUAUUCGUGAUUCAACAAUGAAACACCAUAGAAAUUUAAUUUGGGAGAUUGUCCUAGAAGAUAAAAAAUGAGCAACCAAUCAGAAAGUCGUACUCACAUAUCAAAAUCGAGUUAGUCUACUUAAUUCACCAGCUAUGUAUAUUUCAUCCAUUUUCACAUUAUAGAAAGAACAAUAAUGCAUGGCAUUAUCCAUCAUAAAUUGCUCAUAAAACAUCAAGAUAUUCAUGGUGUGGACCUCAAAUGACUCAUCGUGUCUACUGGCUACAUUUUAAACAUAUCUUAUGGCCAGAAUGUUCAUCUUAUCAACUUAACGAGUUUAUUCAUGGUACCAUACCAUUAAAUUAAAAAAGUUUCCACCUUUUACCUUUUAUAGAUGUCAAGGAAUAUAGCUAAUAACACACUUUUGGCAGCAAUCUUCCUUCACCCAAUUAAAGAUUUUCGGAGCUUAAAGUUCAGCUCCUAAAGCUCUUCUCCAAGUCUCACAAACCAACAGAGAAAUUACUUUUAGGAAAGUUGUUAAAUUUUGGCACACUAGGUUUUGAUGGUAUCUUGGUAAGCUUGGAAGAUUAUAUUGUGCUUCUAAGAUAAUGUUUAAAAAAGCUAUUUUAGUGACGGCAUUAUGGUCAAUUUGCCCCUGAUGAUAUUGAUAUUAGGUCCCAUCAACAUCAGAAGGGAGCUCAUUGUAUUAUUGGAUAUAACAAGGGUGGUAGUGAAAUUAUGAAAACCAUCAAGGGAGGUUUUUGAAAUUAACCCUAAAAUAUUCAUCCCACGCAAGGCGUGGUGUUCCCCCCUUUGUUCCUAUAAAUAGGGCUGCAACUCCAUGCACUUAUCACUCGAUAGCAAUAAUUUAGCACAUUACUUACAUUUUGAGUGAGCUUGUGAUGAAAUGGCACCUUCAAAAAAUUUGCUCUUUGUUUUUGGUGUUCUCUUUGCACUUGUGCUCCUCAUUUCCUCUGAUGCAACAGCUGCAGGUACCUUUCUUUUUUCCUUUCUUCCUUUUUUUUUUUUUGGCUGCACCUAAAUACUCAAAUGAAUGGAGAAUAGGAGACUCAUUAUUGGGAUGUGAAUUUUUAUGGAAGGCUAUUAGUAUAUUAUCAAGCAAGUCAUAUUAAUGUGCUAAUAUCUUUUUCAUUGUUUAGCAAAAGUAAAUCUUGGUUGCUUCCAUCAAUGGUUAGUGGCACAUCUGAUUUUUCAUGCAUCCUUAUAGUAUUGCUGUAAGGAUACACGUUCCAUAGUGUCACACUAAAGGUUAAACUAACGUUGAAAACCAAAUUAACUGCUUCUAAUUAUAAUUUAUUGAAUAGACUAUUAAAGCAAAAUAAUCCAUGUCCAAGUCGCACCAUCUUAUAUGCCUGGACUGUUUUGUUUAAUCCAUUGUAUUCUUUUCUUUGCAUAUAUCUUGCAAAUUUUCAGCCUAGCCGGUCACCUAACGUUCGCAGCUUAAGAUAAAGCUCCAAAUAUUAAUGUCUCCUUCUGUCUUGAAACAGAUCAGAAGAGCGUGAAAACCACUGGUGUCCACGAUGCCAGUUCAGGUCAGGUUCAUCAGGAUAGCAUAAGCGAAGAUCGUUGCAAAUAUCGUUGCUGCCGCUGGUACCAUGGACAGUGCCAAAAAUGCUGUCGAACUGCUGAGGAGACCCCUGAAGCUACAUCCGGAGAUGAGGAUACCGUAACCGCAGAUCGUUGCAGACAUGGUUGCUGCCGCUGGUACCAUGGAAAUUGCCAAAGAUGUUGUCCACCUGCUGAGGAGACCACUGAAGCUACAUCCGAAAAUGAGGAUACCGUAACUGCAGAUGGUUGCAGACAUGGUUGCUGCCGCUGGUACCAUGGACGCUGCCAGAGAUGCUGUCCAACUGCUGAGGAGACCCCUGAAGCUACAUCCGGAGAUGAGGUCAAAAAUUAAUGCUAAAUAAAUAAGGGUGUGACACAGGAUCCGUGACACCUAUAUUAUUACCUUAAUAUGUUGUGUUUGCCUUUGAUGGUUGAUUUCCUGUAUGUGUAAAAGACUUGUGCCACUUCUCUUUGAAUUGGUGUAGAAUCAACAGGGGAAGCACGUAAUGAGUACUCAGUUCGAGUGCUCUUCUUAUGUUGUUGUCAAGUUGAAUAAAUAAAUCUACUUGAUCAUCUACUACAAUUGAUGAUCUCUAUCUCAGUUACAUCAUAAACUUCUGUACCUUGGACCCGCUAGAAUUUAGUGUGAUUGAUAUAAGACGUGCAGAAUGUUCAAUAUAUGUAUAUAUGUGCUUCUUCAUCGCGCCAUGCCAUUACAAUGUGAAAGAAUUCAGCAUCGACAGAGUGAAACGUUCCCAAUCCUGCUCCUGAGAAAGGAAACAAAGUCCCUCAAAAAUGGAUAUUUUGGAUGCCAUCAAGUUUUUGAUUUGAAUGCCAUUUGGAGAUCUGAAUAUUGUUUUUUUUUCCUUUAUCUUCGUUCAAGAUUUUUUUGGUGGAAAUGCUUCAUUUAUACGAAUUUUCCUAGUUAGUAAAUGCUUCUAUUACACUUGUACAAUACACACUUAAAAGUAUAACACAAUAAAAGCUUGUGUAGUUCAUAUAUUUCAAAAAUAUUCAUACUUUUCAACUAAACUAUAAAAAUACGUAAUAAAUUCCUGGUACAUUAUACUUUACGAACAAGACUCUAAAUUUUAAAAAUAUUUAAUACUAUCACUUAUCAAUAACUCCACAUGUUAAUUUGUCUCCCAAUUCAAUAAACUAUAGUAGCUAAUUCUCAAAGCUAACCGACACCAAAAUUCCCUCACUUGUUCACCUCCUAGUGGAUUUAUACUAAUUACAUUGCAUUUAUUUUCUAAGCAUGAGUUUUGUAACCCCUCAUAUUAUUAAAUCUCAAUUAAUUGAUUUUAACGGUUACUAAGGCGUCUAGUAAUUGGUUUGCUAUUAAUUUGAACUAGACAUUUAUUAGGUCUAGUAGAAUUUAUUCCUUCUUAUCACUUAGUUCAUAAACCUUAUGAAUCGUUAAAACCAGCUCUAACAUUAGCUAACAAGACUUCUACAAUUUCGGGUUUUGCUUAGAAAUCAGUCUGAUAGUUUAACUUGCUUCGUCCAACUUUAUGAGUUGCUUUUUUUUUUCUUCCAUAUUUGACAUUUCAUCUGACUUUAAUAUGGGGACCAAGUUAGUAUUGUUGGCAUUUCAUAUCUAAGACUUCUUAAUUAAUUGAUUUGUUAUAAGAACUAUAACGUAUGCGUGUUUUGUAAGCUUUCAUGUUUUUUUUUUUUUUUUUUAAUUCUUGAGGACCAGCAACGGAUUAGUUUCUUCUAGUACCAAGCUUCCUUUGAAGUUCUUUAUUUUCUUUUUUGCGUAAAUUAAAAGAACCAACAACUUUGAACAAGCCUAUAUCUAGUAAAGAUAGAUAUAAAGAGGGAUACUAUAUAUACACAGAUUAUAUAAUUUUUUUUCAAAUGUAUGAUUAAAAGUUUAGUACAAAAAUACGAGUUUAUCAUUAUUAUGGAUAUAAUAUAAAUUCAUAUAUGAAUAGUAUGAAUAAAUCUAAAUGUUAUAGAAUUAGGUAUACAAGUGAAAUUACUAUAAUUUUGAAUGAUUAUGCUAGUUUUAUAUCAAAUUUAAUGCUGAUCCUUGUGUAUAUGACAUCAGAUUUAUUAAAGUUUUAUCACUUUUUUUACAUUUAUAUGUAUAAUCCAUCUAAGUUUGUUAUUUGACAAUACCAUUUUAUAUAUAACUCAAAAGGUACGUCAUUAUCUUGUCUCACUUUUUAAAAUUUAAAGUAUAAAUCAUAAAGGAUAAUGCAUCCAAAAAAAAGUAUAAUGCAUCAAGAAUUUAUUAUAUAUUUUUAUAGGUUAGGUGAAAAGAAUAAAUAUUCUUGAAAUACACGAACUACAGAACCUCUUUUGUGCUAUACAUAUAAACGCGUAUUCUAGAAGUAUAAUAGAAUUGUUUACUAACUAGGCAAAUUCGUAUAAAUGAAGCAGUUCCACCAAAAAAAUCUUGAACAAAGAUAAAGGGUUCAGAUCUCUGAAUGCCAUUCCAUUCAAACUCUUGAUAGCAUCCAAAAUAUCCAUUUGAAGGACUUCAGUUUCUUUCUCAUCAGGAGGGAACGGAAUUGAGUUUGACUCCGUCGAUGCUGAAUUAUUUUACAUUGUAAUGACAUGGUACGAUGAAGAAGCACAUAUAUACAUAUUAUUGAACAUUAUGAACGUCUUAUAUCAAUCACACUAAAUUCUAGUGUUCCCGAGGUACAGAAGUUUAUGAUGUAUAAGGGGUUUCCUCAGAAGUUCGACAGCAUCUGGUGCAUCGUCCAUGGAACCAACGACAGCAACCAAAUCUGCAACAAUCUACGGUUACGGUGUCCUCAUCUCCAAAUUUAUUCUCACGGAUCUCCUCAGCUGUUUGACAGCAUCUCGUGCAAUAGAUGGGGUACCAGCGGCAGCACGAAAUCUGCAACCAGUUAAGUGAUCAAUCUCACCUGAACUGGCAUCCAGUGGUCUUCAUGUUGUCGUGAUCUGUUUCAAGACAUAAAUAUUAGGAGCAUCGUCUUAAAGUCCAAAACGUUAGGUGACUGGCUAGGUUGAAAAUUUGCAAGAUAUAUGCAAAGAAAUGAAUACUAUGGAUUAAACAAAACUGUCUAGGGAUAUGAGAUGGUGCAACUUGGAUAUGAAUUAUUUCGUCUUAUAAGCUACUAAAUAUGACAUUUGGGUUUUGACGUUAGUUUAAUCUUUGUCGUGUUAAACAAUAGUGUGACAUUUUGGAACGUUUAUCCUUGCAGUAAUACUAUAAGGAUGUGAAAAAGAUAUUAGUACUUUAAUAUAACUUCCUUGAUACUAUACAAAUAGCCUAUCAUAAAAAUUCACGUCCCACUAAUGUGUCUCCUAAGCUCCAUUCAUUUAAGUAUUCAGGUUCAUCCAAAUAAAUAAAUAAAGGAAGGAGGAAAAAGAUUAGGUGCAUUCAGUUGUUGCAUUAGAGGAAUUGAGGAGUACAAGUGCAAAGAGAGCACCAAAAAGAAACAGCAAACUUUUUGAAGAUGCCAUUUGAACACAAUCUCACUCAAAAUCUAAAUGAUGUGCUAAAUUUAUUGAUAUCUAGUGACAAUUGCAUUGAGCUAAACAAUAUUUUGUUGAUAUCUAAAUGACCUCAUUUUUUAUGUUGAUGGGACCUAAUGUCAAUAUCGUCAAGGACAAAUUGACUGUAAUACCCUCAUUUAGAAGCAAAAUAUCAUAUUCCAAUUUUACCAACAUGCCAUCGAAACUUGUCACCAAAAUUUAACAACUUUACUAAAACUAAUUUUCUAAGGCUGGUGAGCUUUGGAGAAGAUCUUUAGGUGCUGAACAUUAAGCUCCAAAAUAUUUCAUUGGGUGAAGGAAAAUUGUUGAAAAAAGUGGCUUAUUAGCUUUAUUCUUUGAUAUUUAUAUAUAAUAAUUAAAAGAUGAAAACUUUUUUAAUUGAAUGUGGAUAUUCACAACAAAAUGAGGUACCGAAUGGAAGUUUAUGGUCUUCAUGAUUGAUGUGGUUCCAUGAAUAAACUCGUAGAGCUGAUAAGAUGAACAUUCUGGCCUUAAGAUGAGUUUAAAAUGUUGCCAUGGUAGACAUGAUGAGUCAUUUAAGGACCACAUCAUGAAUAUCUUGAUAUUAUAUGAGCAAUUUGCGAUGGAUAAAGCCAUGCAUGCAUGUGCUUUAUAUAAUGUGAAAAUGGAUGAGGUAGAUAAAGCUUGGUGAAGUAAAGUAAGUAUACCGAAUCGAUUUUGACAUGUGAGUAGGAUUUUCUGCUUGGUUGCUCUAUUUUAAGUGAUUAUCACUAUGUUGACAAAGAUCUUGUCGGACAAUCUCCCAAAAUAAGUUUCUAUCGUUUUUUUUUACUGAAUCACGAACAUUUCUUUAGUGAAAAUUUCAAUCUUAAAUUAGGUUGGACAAAUUAUUUGGAGGGAACAUUUUAGAUAGUAAGUGACUCAUUCACUCCUCAUUUUUGCAUAUAUAGUUGAAAGAAAAACAUAAGUUUAAGCGACUAAUUACUUUGUAAAUAAAGAUCGUAUAAGAUCACUUCCAAAAGUAAGUUUCUAUACCAUAUCUUUGUUGAGUCUUAUCAAGAAAAUUUUGGAGGGAAAAUUAAUCUUCAAUUAGCUUGGACUACAUUAGGCUACUACUUGGUUGAUUGUCAAUUUUAUCAUUUUUAUUGUUAUUAAAAAAUCCAUAAUGUGAACACAAAAGUAAACGAGGAUAUCACAAAAAUUGAUUAUCUAUAAUCAAAAUCUCUAAAUAAUUAAAAUAGUCAAUCAAAAACAAGCAUGUUGUAGUAUAAAAUUUUUUAGGUAGACUACUUUGUCUGUACCUUUAUAUGUUGACUACUAAUUGAAAGCUACCAUGAAUUUUGGAUAAAUAGGACGGACCUGAUUCUACUCAUGGCAUUAUUGUGUAUUCAAAAUUAUUUUUUCCUUUUAGCUGCUGUGCUUCAUGCCAUUUGGAAUAGUUCACUCCUUAUUUUAUAUUUUUUUCUUUUUUUCUUUUUUUGGAAAUAGCCCUUUUUACAACAUAAAUAUGUUACAAUAUUUCUUUUAGGGCCUAUAAAGGUAAAUAUGGAACAAAAUGUGCUGACACCAUUUCUUGUCAAUCUAUUGCAUUUCUUUUACGGACAUGGGCUAACUUGGUUACAAAACUAGUUAUAAGUAAGAGUGAUCAGCGUAAUAUCGAAAACAAGAGGGGCACUAGGUGAAAUUGUCCAAACAUUCAGGGGAAGUUUGUGAAAUUAUCCCAAUAGUUUGAGUACCUGCCCUGUUACUUGCAUUAGAGUGACCCUUUAUUAUUGACUAAUGCAGACGUCCAUGUCUGCAGUCUCAGGACGGAGGAAUAAAGUAUUUAUUGUCCUUGUACGAGUUAUAUAUAGUCUUUCUUGACUGCAAAAGUUGAUAAUUGAGCUAAAGAAUCGAAAGAUAAUGUGGCCAUUUUUCAAUCUCUGGAUAGGAUUAUAGUCUUUCAUGAUUUCUAAAGUGGAUAGUUGAGCUAAAGAAUAAUAAGAUAAUGUGGCCAUUUUUCAAUCUCUGAUAGGAAGGAUAUCAAUCUCCUCCUUUUCCGUCUUCAUGUCUGGAUUGUAUAUCAAUUUCUUUUUCUUUUUCGUUUGUUGGUUAGGUAAACUUUCAUUUUCAUCAGUCUAAAGGCCUAAAGGUCCCUGCCCAUUUCAGAAAUUUACCGAUUUUAAGUGGGCGUAAUAGAGCUUUAAUUAACUCUAUCAAGAUCUUUAUACAUUACGAGCAACUUUCCUGUUAAAAUACUAAUUCAAACAAGCUGUGCAAAUUCAAGGAUGGAACUAGAUUUUGAAAAGGAAUACUUUACACUUCAUAAGAAGUACUGAAUUCGUGGAUUAAUUUUCUUGUGCUAUUGCUUUAAAGAUUUAUUUACAUGAGUAGAUUUGAAUGCGCGAUAAGUAAUUGUGAUUCAAACUUGAAGUCAUAUUUUUGCACAUGAAAGAAAUAGUCCAAAAUAUUUUUUUUUUCCUUUUUAGAACUCUACAUGUAGCUUUAACUUGACUAGUCCUAUAACUAGUCAUUGAUGAGUAUGAGGUAUGCAUAUAAUAAUUAAGCCCAUUUCAUAGUUAAAUUUUAUAUUUUUAAAUUUUUAAAUAUCCCACACGUGAUUUUCUGCAAGUAUACAGGUUAAGAUUGAGCAUAGGGUAUUAAGGGUCAAACCCACAGGGAAGAUUGUCAAUGACCGAUGAUUUUCAAACUCAUUUAUUAUUUAAACUAUCACAAGUGCAAGAAAUUAAAUCUACACAAUAAACAUGAGAUAAAAGUAAUAAAAAUAAAAAUAAGAAACUUCUAAAAUUACGGAAUUCCUAACUACUUUUGCAAGUGAAGUUACCGAUUAAGUGAAUGUUAUUAUCUUGCCUAAUUAUGACAUAAUUUCCUAAUAUAUGUGAAACAUACUCUCACAAUAAAUUAACUAUACUUGUAAUUAAGCCAUAUCUUCUCAUUCAAACAAGCUGUGCAAAUUCGAGGAUGAAACUAGAUUUUGAAAAGGAAUACUUUAUACUUCUUAAGAAGUACGGAGGUCAGGGAUUAUUUUUCUUGUGCUAUUGAUUUAAAGAUUUAUUUAAAUUAGUAGAUUUGGAUGCGUGAUAAGUAAUUGUGAUUCAAACUUGAAACCAUAUAUUUUGCACAUGAAAGGAAUAGUCCAAAAAUUUUUUUCCCCUUUUAGAACUCUACAUGUAGCUUUAACUUGACUAGUCCUAUAUCUAGUCAUGGUUAAGAAGUUUCAGAAUAUUGGUGAGGUUAUGCAUGAUAAAUUCUGUAUUUAUCCAUUGCUUUGUUAAGCCAAUCUCUAGACAGGUUUGUACUUAUUAAUUCCUUUCGCCAUCUAAACUCAAAGAUAGAACGUAUUAAUAUGUGUCAAUACCAGAAACCAGAAAAACUCGACCACUAGCUUAUCGAACUGAAUUUAGGUCAUUAAUUUUUUUAUGCCCAUCAACUUAAGAAAAGCAACAUAUCAUGCAGAUUAAUAAGUGCAGUUCACUCCAUAGGGUAAAAUAUAAUGUGAAUAGAAUUAAAUCUCUAAAUGUAUAUCCAAGAUAAAAACGCAUAUGGUUGAAACGAUUUGUACUAAAUUUGUUUGAAAUUGCAGGGCUAUAAGUCGAAAAUGUUGAGUGCAUGAAAAGCGUGGAAGACUAUGUACUAACUUGACAAAGUGACUUAAAUUUGAAUAAUUAUGACAACAUUUUAUAAUUUUUGUGGGUCAAAUUUUGUUUUAAUCUCUUACAGUAACAAGCUUGCUUUCAUUUUUUUUUUUUUUUUUUGCUUGUUUGGAUCAUGGCCAGUCCAUAAAUACAAUAAAAACCCACCAACCUUUACUCAUAUAUAUAUAUAUAUAUAUAUAUGUAUGUAUGUAUAUGUAUAUGUAUAUAAAAGCACUUCCACCUCAAAAUUUACAAAAAAGGGAAGAAAGAAGAAACCCUACUCGUUCUCUUCCGGUGCUAUACGUUUAUCAGAAUAAAGGUCGAAUCUUGCAAAAUAUCAUUCUUGAAAGCAUUCAUUGUUCAUACUUUUGUCUUACGUCAAAGUUAGACAUCUUGCAAUUCAUAAAUUUUCAUGCUUGACAACUCUUUUAGAUAAGAUUGAUGUUCCUCUGAAUAUCAACAUUUAAUUUUUUUUUUUUUAGUAAGUUGUACCGUCGAUACCGAAGAACUUUGAUUCCUUUCUCAGGAAGGAAUAGGAUUGGGUUUAACUCUUGUCGAUACUGAAUUUUUUUACAUUGUAAUCACAAGGAAUGAUGAAGAGCGCGCGCACACAUAUAUUGAAUAUUCUGCACAUCUGAUAUCAAACACACUAAAUUCUAGCAGGUCCAAGGUACAGAAGUUUACGAUGUAACUGAGAUAGAGAUCAUCAAUUGUGAUGAUGAUCAAGUGGAUUUAUUUAUUCAACAUGACAACAACAUAAGAAGAGCACUCGAACUGAGUACUCAUUACAUGCUUCCCCUGUUUAUUCUACACCAGUUCAAAGAGAAGUCUUUUACACAUAGAGGAAAUCAACCAUCAAAAGCAAACACAACAUUACAUAUUAAGGUAAUAAUAUAGGCGUCACGGAUCCUGUGUCACACCCUUAUUUAUUUAGCAUUAAUUUUUGACCUCAUCUCCAGAUGUAGCUUCAGGGGUCUCCUCAGCGGUUGCGCAGCAUCUUUGGCAUUGUCCAUGGUACCAUCUGCAGCAACGAUAUCUGCAACGAUCUGCAACUUCAGGGGUCUCCUCAGCGGUUGCGCAGCAUCUUUGGCAUUGUCCAUGGUACCAUCUGCAGCAACGAUAUCUGCAACGAUCUGCAGAUAUAGCUUCAGGGGUCUCCUCAGCGGAUGCACAGCAUCUUUGGCAUUGUCCAUGGUACCAGCUGCAGCAACGAUAUCUGCAACGAUCUGCAGAUAUAGCGUCAGGGGUCUCCUCCGCGGAUGCACAGCAUCUUUGGCAUUGUCCAUGGUACCAGCUGCAGCAACGAUAUCUGCAACGAUCUGCAUUUACGGCAGCCUUAUCUCCAGAUGUAGCUUCAGGGGUCUCCUCAGGAGAUGCACAGCAUCUUUGGCAUUGUCCAUGGUACCAGCUGCAGCAACGAUAUCUGCAACGAUCUUCACUUAUCUUAUCCUGAUGAGCCUCACCAGUGGUCUUCACGCUCGCCUGAUCUGUUUCGAUACACAAGGAGACAAAAAUAUUAGGAGCUUCAUCUUAAGCUGCAAAGAGUUGAGUGACCUGCUGGGCUGAAGAUUUGCAAGAUACAUGCAAAGAAAAGAAUAUUAUGGAUUAAACAAAAUAGUCUACUUAUAAAAGAUGGUGCGACUUGGAUAUGAAUUAUUUUGCCUUAUAGUCCACUCAAUAAAUUAGAAUUAGUAUUAAUUAAUUUGGUUUUCGACUUUACUUUAAUCUUUAUCGUGAUAAACAAUAGUGUGAUAUAAUGUAACGUGUGUGCCUGGAGUUAUACUAUAAGGAUGAAAAAUCAGCUGUUCCACUUACCGUUGAUACAAACAACCAAAAUUUACUUUUAUUAAACAAUGAAAUAGAUAUUAGGAAACUAAUAUAACUUCCUUGAUACGAUACAAAUAGCCUACCAUAAAAAUUCACGUCCCAAUAAUGAAUCUCCUAAUCACCAUUCACUUGAGUAUUUAGGUGUAGCAAAAGAAAAAAUCGUAAGAGAUAAGUAAAAAAAAGAAAGACUAGGUACCUGCAGCUGUAACAUCAGAGGGGAUUUGGAGUGCAAGUGCAAAGAGAACAACAAAAAGAAAGAGCAAAUUUUUUGAAGAUGCCAUUUGAUCACAAUCUCACUCAGAAUGCAAAUGACGUGUUAUAUUUGUUGAUAUCU